rnacentral:lncRNA from 1 species
UAAAUUCAGUACUGAAUUUGUAAGCAAUGUGGCGAUGCCUAUCUUGUAAACAAGGCAAGACCACGGUUAGACAUUAACAUCAUGCUCUUGUCAAGUUUGAACUCUUUUACGAUCAAAAAGCAGAGUAAUUCAUCAAGCUAUGGAAGAAUUAGUACAUCCUUCCUAUAGUUAGAGUUCUUGCGAUCUCCUUUAUUGAAAAUUAAGUUGCAGGAAAAAAAAUCUGCUACCUUGACCGCUAACCCGCUUGGGAUGGCUAAGGUACAAGGGUUGGAUAAGAAUCUACCAACUUCUACACCUAAGAAACAAUUCCCUUCUCCCCUGUUUAUGGGUCACCAUCGGAGCUCUCGAGUUCACAACUGCACCAAGCUGGUUAUACUCCCAAUUGGGGUAUAUCUGAUUUUCAUCUAAUAAUUGUACGCCCGAGUUCCUUGUCUUAAAAAAAAUGCCAAAAUACCUGUAUUCAUAUCUAAACCUUCACAAAUACCACCUCGAUGUCUUAGUUUUGGAUCUGUAAGGAAUUAGAUGACUGUUGAGCAUGCUUACUAACCAUUUGCGGAUUUAGGGAAGAGUGGAAUUCGAAACAGGAGCUUUCCUGUCAAAGCAAAGAAAAAAAAUAGUUUUUAAAAACUUCUCAAUUUCAACUCGCUAGGAUGAUAUUGGUGGCCAUUUUGCACGGUGAGACCUUUUAUAUAUGGAAAUUAGAUUGCAUUGGCAUCGUUCAGUUGAAAUUACAAGGGUAAGAAGGCUGGCGAAACAAGUACUACUUUCUAGAUCAGCCUAUUCUCAGGUUAUAUACUAAGCUAACAUGAAUGGCUUCGGUCUAACUUAAUCUCUUAAAAUACACGAAAAUCUGGAAUACUUCAAGAACUGUAGCUAGAAAUAACAACGAGCUUUACUUACAGUGGUUACCUCAUUCUUCAUUAGUUGAAGGUCUUGCACAGCCACAAAAGCAACCCUUCUUCUGCCUUCUGCUGCUUUUCCUGCCACCGCUGUAUAUGAAGUCUCUCAAGAGGAUGCCUGUUUUACUUCCAGAAAAUUUAUGCUUUCUUUUGCUUUUCUUUUCAUCCUCCAGUUUUAGCAGAAUGUAAUGGAUACUCUGCACCUCAAACUGUAACCUUCCUAUCUUUUCAGACCUUUCAUAAAUCAAUCUAUGGCUCCUAUGAUGAGGACCACAGUCAAACAACAAUAUUAUUUGGACUUAAAGCUCUCUUGGUUCGAAAUUAUAAUUGACUGCUCUCUUGAUUUAAGCUCUCGUGUCUGUUGGAAUGUUGCAUUUGUUUUUGCUGCUAGCCCUCAUGAUUGAUGGGCCUCGGACAUUGAUUAGCGACAAAUUCUAUACUAAAUUUCCGAGGAUUAUAUUUAUUGGUUGACGGCGGAUCGUUUGUAGUUGCCGGUUGGGGUAGCGGAUAAACUAGUUCGUCCACAUUCCAAAUGGAAAUGUCUUAUGAUCACCAUCAUCACUCGCCGAGUAGAGCUUUGAUGGUAUUAUUGCCAAUUGGUCCCAACUAGAGAUGAUUAGGGCUUGUUUAAAGGUGUCCUUGUUGUCCCACAUGACUUGGUGUCUGAUUUUACUCUCUUUUCCCUCGAACAUUUCCAGGUGAGCAACGAAUAUACAGCUUGUGUUAGCAUUUGUGCACUUGCAUCUUCAUAAAUCGUGAAUUCUUAAGAUCUUCUGCACAAAAAUUUGGUCUGAAUUAACCCACAAACUGAUUCAAGAAUACUCUUCACCAUCAAGUAAUAAAUCAAUCAAUCAAAAGUUUAAAUUUAGCAAUUCACGCUAGAUUAGUGUAAUGCUUUAAUUAUGAAACAUAUCUUAACGUUAUACCUUUUCAAAUUUUAGUUAUGAUGAAUGGAUUUAAAUUUGUUUCGCUUACGAUCAUUUAAUACUCGAUUUAAAAAAAAAAAUUGAAAUACCUUUUCAUAAAUGUAUGAAUCCUAACAUGAAUUUGAAUAAUGUGUGUAGAACUUCAUUAGAAAAAGGUUUAGUCUUAAUCACAAAAGUAAGCUCAAGUGUAUCUUGAUUGUUAAAAAAAAAACAGAGUAGUUCUCUUUUUUUUAAGACCAAGUGGUAUCGUUGGGUCAAUCUUGACAUGCAAACAUUGAAUCUAGCUCUACGAUCCAAAUAAUGACAGGAUAUCCAUGAAAAGAUUAGAAGAAAUGAUAAGAUCCUUGUUAAAAAUCCCCUUGCAUAUUUUAUAGGUUUAAACUCAAACAACUUCUAUGGUGCUUUUAGAUGAUAAUCAAAUCUGUGGCAAACUUAGGCCCGGUUCCGAUAUGACACAGCAGCCGAUCAGGGGAGAGGGAGUUCUGUAGUGCCGGGGGUGAAAGCUGAACCUUGAAUGGCGAGAGAGCCAGGAGGUGUAUCUUAACUAAACGUGUAUAACGAGUGGACUCCAUUGUAUCCAAAUCAAGGUUAUCUAAUCAGGAUCAAAAUCGAUUGCCGUCGUGAAAAUGGUAGAUGACGUGCCCUAACUCUUGCACGAGCAAUGAUGUUUUUAAAAAUAUUUUUUAUUUAAUAAUAUAUUAAAAUAAUAUUUUUUAAAAAUUUUAAAAAUUAUUUUUUUAUAUUUAUGUAUCAGAAUAAUCUAAAAUUAUUAAAAAUUUAUUAAUUUUAUGUAAAAAUAAUUAAUUUUUUUAAAAAAGUGGAAAAACAAAAAAAGGCUUUAGAAAAAUUACAAUAUUUGUUUUUGCGUCUUUGAAGUGGGUCUCCGGGAAUCAUUUCAAGCAAUGAGGUGGAAAGGUGAAUGUUGAAUAAUAAAAAGAAAUUUGAAAAGUGGAGAAUUGUACCGAAGACUAAAGGAGACAUGGGCCAUGCUUGGUAAUUGGAUAUCUAAAGAGCCGGAAGAAAUGGCCCUACGAUGUGUUCUUCUCCUUUAUUUAUUUAUUUAUUUAUUAUUUUUUUGACAAGCACAUUGAUGCAGCUUAACCAGUAUCUCAGGGAUACCACGGUUUUUGGAUUCGUCGAGGACAUGAUGAAAAGUGCUGUUUGGAUGCUUAUUUUCUUCAUGACCUGUUGUCCGAUGGAAAAGAAAUUAAGCGUAUAUUUGUAUAAAGUCCAUGAAAUUAACUGUUUUCUUUCUUCUAUAUAAUUUUUUUAUUGGUGCAUGGUAUCAGAAAAAAGCUCACGUAUCCAUUUCGUAUAAAAACUAAACAAACAAGAGAAUGGUCACUUAAAAUGUUUUAAGAACACAAUUAACAAGGAGCAUAAAAAACUAUAAUAAUAAUAAAAAAAAGGGAUGUAGUAAAAAUAUACGAGAGACGAGCUCUUAACAUCAUUUAACACGUCUUAUCUCAACAAGAGCAAGGAACGUCUGUGGGGAAAGAAAUGAAAACCACUAAGCACAUAUUUUUGAGAAAUAAUUCUAAUCCCUUCCUCGUCUAUUAGAAUGUGACAAAAUAUAGUUUUAUAAUGACGAAAAAUAAAAAUAAAGAGUUGCAAAUGAGACUCUCGUGGAUGCAAAUACAAAUUAAUAGUGGUGGCAUGUACUCUUGUAGAAGAUGAAUGACAGAGAAUUAAAGCUUAAUUAGCAAAUAAAUAUAAAGGGCCCGCCCGCCCUUGGCCUGCCGCCCACCCACUCAUCGCCUUCUAAUCAAGAUUCUCCAUCAAAACUUGGCAGUCAAAUAUCCUUCCAUUUCCGAGGGAACUCUAAGGGCAACAAUCUGAUCCAGUGGUAUCUAACGAAACAUCAAGUUCAGAGAUUCAACGAGGGAAUAAUGAUCUUGCGAUUCUACGUAUCUCUCGCAUGGAAAAAACAGUUUGAUAUAUACAAGCUAGGCACCAUCUUUGUCAUGUCACAUGGACCAAGCAAGAUAUCGUUUCAAGGAUUUUGAACUUAAAAAAAAAAAGUAACCUCUCCCGUUACAUAAUUAUAUCUUUACCGAGGGAAUUGAAGUCAUAGAAAGUCGAAUUCCUAUCUCAUUUGUUAGCCAUCAAAUAUAACAUCACUGGAUCAAGUCUUCAUGUGUUCCGAGCAACAUAAAUUAAAAUAUAUAUUCCUUCGACGAGCCACAUAAGUUGUCCCUCCCCCAGUGACAAAGCAAGGUUUUUUUUUCCCCCUUAGUGUCUAGAAACUAGAAUAGAAAAUGUGCUCUUAGUGCAGUAGUAUUUCUCAUAAUAGGCUAGAGUGGAGAUAGAUUCAAGCUCAAAGUUAAUUUAGACGAUUAUAUAUAUAUAUAUAUAUAUAUAUAUAUAUAUAAUAUAUAUUAAAAAAUUGUCCUUUAUCGUGUUUUUUGAUGUCUAAUAUCAUUAAGAAUAUUUGGAAAAAAGGAUAAACAGAAUCAUAAAGAUGGCCAAGAACCAUCACGACCCAGUUGCUGGAUACUGCGUGUUGUCUAAUGAUAAUAGCUGCUAAUAAGCAAGCCAUCAUGGAGGAUAUGAUAAUUAGCUAAUUAGAGGCAGCUCAAAAGCAACCACGUUCACAAUUAGACGAGGAAGAUUUCGUUAUCAAGCAUCGCCAUCUUUGGACUCAACGAGUCUGCAAUGAUAUCAAAAUAGGUCAAAACAACAAGAAGGAAUUCCAAGAAGAUCUCUGCUUUUGUCUUUUUCUUUUUUGUUCUCUUCCGACUCUACCCUUCCCUCGGUGAAUCUAAUGCCACCGUCAAGAUUUACGAGGCAGUCAAAGGAGGCAGCAGCAGCAUGUUUGAUUUCCUUCUUUCUUUAACACUCCCUUUCUUUUUUUAUGGGUGCUUUUUCUGCUUAAUGAGAGAGGCCCCACUCCUCUCUUUCUCUUUGCCAACGUUUUUAUGGGUUUGAAGACAAAUUGGGUUUUUAUCUUUUGAUUUUCCUUUUCUAAAUGCACGGACCCAGUCUUUCUUUACAUACAUGUCAUUAGAAAUAGAAUCCACUGCAGGUUCAAGUGUCACCAAAGACCAGCGUAUAUUAUUUUUUACCAUACUCUAUAUCAAAGUUAUAAAAAUCAGCUGAGUUGCGAGUCGGAAGAGUGAACAUAAAUUAUCUAAUUUUAAAAAAUAAAUAGAUAAAAUGUUUUUUUAAAAAAACCUUUUUUAGAAUAAGUCAACAAAUAGAUUGAUUAAGUUUUAUUGAGCAAACAUCAAAAAAAAAUUAUUUUUUUAAUCUGAACCGGUUUAAUUUUCGGGAUAAUUUGAUAGGUUAGUCUUGGUACAAAGACAGUGUUCUAUCUGCAUGUGUUGUUCUGAUGUGGACAUGUCUAUACGCGCAGACAUGACUUGUGUUUUGUGCGUACGUGUACUGGAUGUCGACGUGUCUUCUAUCUAAGUGGCGUGUUUUCAUUUUAUUCAUUUCUCUUCGUUAUCUCGGGGAGUCGAUGUCCUUUGUACAGAUUAAUGUAAAUUAAUCCAAUAUAAUCAAUUCUCUUGAUGUUCUCCCAGAUAUGAUUAAUUUUUUACUGUUAACUAUAAACUAAAAGAUGAGGAGUUUUACUGUAUUUUUUUAAUAAAUUAUUAUUUAUUAAAAUAUUGAUUUUUUAAUUAAUUUAUUUUUUAAAAAAAAAUAUGAUUUAUUUUUUUAAUUAUUACACUCUCGUAACCGAGUUUAACAGAUUAAGCUGAUUUUGGGGGUUAAUCUGGUUGACUCGUUUUUUUUUAUCAUUUAAUAUUGGGUUGAUUGAGAAUUAGAUUUUAUGAUUUAUUUUAUUUACUUUCUUUUAUGUUAUUUUUAGUCUAAUAACUCAAGAAUGGUGCUUAAAAGAUUAACUCGAGUAGACUCGGAUUACUUUUUAUCUUUUUUAUUUUAUUUUAUUAUUCAAUACCAGGUCGAUUAAGUUUUAAGUUUUAUAAUUUUUUUGAUUUGCUUUGUAAGGGGAUAUCUUAGUCUCAUGAUUAAGAUAAUUGAUUUUAGCAUUUUAACUAUGAUUAAAUCAUGUCAUUUAUUUUAUUUUAUUUUCAAAACAUUAUCAUAGUAUCACAACCUGAGUCAUGGGUCCUUCAACAUUGAAUUUUCUUUUGAUUUAGUUGUCUCAGCCUCAUGACCUAGGUGGUGAGUUAGCUUAAUUGACUCAACUUUUUUUUAAUUGACUAUUUUUUUUCAUCGUUUAAUAUCGUGUUUAAUUAAAAAUUAAGCUUCAUGAUUUAUUUUGCUUUAUUUUUUAUUAGGUUUUCUUGACAUCAUAACCCGGUAGUUGUUAACUUUAGUUUACUUUGCUUAUUUUUUGUGUCAAUUUUUAAAUUAUAAUUUUUUUAAAUUUCAUCAUUUAACAUUGAAUUUAACAGUGACAUUUAAGAAUUGAGUUGUAAAAUUUAUUUUGAUAUGUUUUCUAGUAGGUUAUCUUGAUGACAUGACCAAAGCCAUGGAUUUGAUAGAUUAAUCCGUGUUAAAUUAAGUUUUUUUUUUAUGAAGUUAUCUCGAUCUGAUGACCCCGGAUAUAGGUUUGACAGAUUAACUUGAGUUAUUUUUUAUUACAUGACCAAAGUUGUAUGAAUUGUUUUUGAACCUGUAUAUUUAACCGGGUUAUAUCAAAUCAGCUCCCACAUCAUUUAUUUAUUUAUUUCACUAAAAAAAACAUAUUAAUAAGAUCUAACAUUUAUCUUAUAUUAAAAAAAGAAGUAACCUGAUUCACAAUAUAGCAUAUAUGAAUUAUCUAGUAAUUCCAGAACUGGGUCAGUGACGUGGUGGUUUGCGUGAUCAUAGAAAAAAGUUAAUUACAAUGUACUGAUAAAUAUAUAUAUAAAAAAAGAAUAACUAAUUAGCUAUUUGAUGGCAAUGGAAUAAAUUAUCACCGAGAUUCAAUGAGUUUUUUUUUAGUUUAUGUUUCAGGAUAGAGUAAAAAACAUGGGUAGAGUUAUAUUUGACGAUGGUAUAUAUACAAAAACAUUUAUCAUGACAAUGAUAUACAACGCUAUAAAAUAUAUAUAAAAAAUAUUUCAUCUUUGUGUUAUCUAUUUUUAUAUUAAAUUUGAAAAAAAAAGAAAAUAUUUUUUAUUUCAUUUCAUUUUCAUGGAUGCUCUACUUAUUCAGUGAUUUCUAAAUACUAUUAUUUUUUUUUAUUUUACGUUGCGUUAAGGAUAAUUAUUAACUUAGUAUGUAUUUUAAUUUUAAAAUAUUAUUAAUUUCAUCCAUGAAAUAUUAACUCAUUAAUAUAAUUAUUUUAACGUAACCUUUGAAAAGAAUAUUAUACAUCCAGCAAAAAUACAAUAACCUGUAAUUUAUUUUUGUUAAUUCAUAUUUCUACAGAUACAAAUCAGGAGAAAUUUAUAAUAUGGUUUAGUCGGUUAGUUUUCUUAGAUUUUAUACAGAAAUACAAAUAUACAAGAAAAGAAGAUAAUAAUAAUAAUAAUAAUAAAAAGACUAUGUAAAAUUUGGAAUGGGUGGGAAAAGUAAAGGAAAAUGAUUAAACCUACUAGUCUACUACCUAGAACCAGGUCUAGGCUCAUCUAGGCUGAGACACAACUAGAGUGACAAGCUGUCUGUUAUAAUCCCAUGCGGCGAGUCUUGUUUAUUUUUUGAAGAAACUCACUUGAAUCUAUUGCGAGCACCGACCACCAUAAAAAAAUCUUCGUUUUAUUUCAAAUAUUUAUAUCUCUCAGAUCUAGUGAUAAAAUUGUAUAAUUUUUAUGCAAGUGAAUUUUUUAUUUUAUGAUAGUAUUGGCCAAUUUUGUGACCGAAUUCUGUACAACCAGAAAUAUCUCUCUCCGCUAGUUUUUUCCCUCUCUUCUUGAUAAAUGUUUUAUUAUUAUGUUUUAUAUAUAUAUAUUUGAGUUUUUCAAAUUCAACCGUGGAAGUUGAAUGUUGUAAAAUCAAUGGUUUAGAUAUUAAGUUGGGGAUAGAGAUGGAAGAUUUGAAAUGUUUUUAGGGGCAUUUUUUAAGAUAAAAAAAUUAUUGUUUGUCUUAUCAGACACAUUUUUUAUUUUUUUGACCUUUUGAGGUACAUAAAUAGCAAAAUUUUGGUUACAAUAAGAAGUUGUUUUUAAAAUAAUUUUUGUGAUUAUAAUUUUAAAAAAUUAAGUUUAAAAAAAGUAUGAUUAGUUAGAUUUAUGAUUGAGGUUUAUGUGUAGCAAAAGAAAUAUAUAAAAUAUUUGGUUGUAGUUGCUUUUCAAAAAUAUUUUUUUACUUAGAAAUGCAUCAAAUUUUUUAUUAUUAUUAUUUAAAAAUUAUUUUUAAUCCUAGCGCAUUAAUUUUUUUUUGAAAAUAUAUAUAUAAAAAAUUAUUUUGAAGUAAAUUUUUUUUUUUUUUAAAAAGUAUUUUUAAAACACAAAAACAAAUAGAAUUUUACGAACCUCAGUUAAAAAAAUAUAUAAAAAUUGUUUUAUAAAAUUAUAUUUGAAACUUAAUUUUUUAUGGGCUUCAUAAUAUAAAAUAUAAUUUGAUGUAUUACCUGACUAUGUUUUUUACACCACAUAUACAACAGCCACAACUAAAUAAACUUACCUUCAAUAAUUAUAAUGUUCAUGAGUAGAAUUAGAGGGGAAGCCUAGAUAACAACCCCGAGCCCUAAAGUUAAAAUAAUACAUAAUUCGUACAAGUUUUAUAUCUUAUAAUAUAACUAACUAUUCUAAAUAAGAAAUUGUAUUUUAACCCACAAUCUAUCAUUUUUGUCGACGUAUAUUGUCUUUGCACCUCAUCAUGUUCUUCGGUUUUUCUAAUUUAAUAUUCACAAUUCCGUCCUCGUGGCCAUGACCCCUGGCCGCACCACACGCCACGCAUGGAUUGCAACCUCCACAAAACUUAAAUAUAUUUAAAUUCAUAACCUGGUUUCAAAUUAUUCACGAAGAAAAGAUAUUCGGUGGUGAAACUAGUGAUUAAUUUUUAAAAUAAAUUAAAAUAAUAUAUUUUUUAUUUUUUAAAAAAUAUUUUCGACAUAAUACAUUAAAAUGAUAUAAAAAUAUUAAAAUAAUAUUAUUUUUAAGUUAAUAUUUUUUUGAUAUUUUCAGAUAUUUUAAUUUAUUGAUGUUAAAAAUAUAUUUUUUUAAAAAUUAAUAUUAUUUUAAUAUUUUUAAAAAAAUAUUUUUGACAUCAGUAUAUAAAAAUGAUAUAAAAAUAUUAAAAAAUAAUAUUAACUUAAAACAAUUUUUUUUUUUUUAAAAUGUUUCACGCGAAACGCUAGAAUCACAGAAAGAGUUCUCAUGAUCCGAGUUGCCCAAACAAUACGAACAAGUGUCCAGUGGUUCUUAGCUAGUUCUCACAUUUGACGAGCCUUCUUCCAUUAAGUAGAUCUGAAUGGUGAAAAGUUGUAAUAACGUGUAAAACAUGCUCGACCACUCGGUAUUAUUACCGUUUUGUAUCUUAAACAUGAGGGCGGCUAUAUGUCUCUCUCCUUUUCAAGUCUGACCUCGAGUUUCAACGAAGAUUUCCUUUCGCUCCUUCACUAUGAUGAAUCAAUUGUUAAUUAUUAUCCAAAAUGUAAUUAAAUAUUGAAUUUUUUAUAUUAUAAAAUUACAUAAUUUAAAAAGGUUUCAAUUAAAAUAUGCAGCUUAAUGCAGCAUGUGAUUGUCAUAUUUAAAAAACCUAAUAUUUAAUGAUAUUUAUAUUUUAACUAUUACAUCAAAUCGGAUAAAUAUUUUAUGUUUUAAUAUUAAAUAUUUUAUGUUUUAAUAUUAAAUAUUUUUAUCAACAUCUAUCUUUUAAUUUUUUAAAUUUUAUUUUUAAGUAUUAUUAAUAAAUUUUUAUUUAUUUAUUCACAUGUAUAGUUUUUAAUUUAUACAUAAAGUUUUUUGUUCCAACAUAAAAUUUUAAUUCAAAGGUUUUUUUAUCUUCUUUUAAAAAGAUAAAAAUAUCAAACCAGAGGAAACACGGAUCACAUAUCCAUGAUAUAUCAUAAAUAUCGUUAAUAAAUGUAGAUAGAUCAUAAAUAUCGCGAAUAAAUAUAGAUGUAGAUGCUGUUAGAUGAUUAGAGGUUUAAAGAGCAAGAGGGAAUAAAAUGGGGUCACAAGAGCCCAGAACCACUCAUCUGCUUUGACAUUUUGAUAUAUUUGGUGGUCACAAUUUUUUCCCUCGUCUUCCAAGGCACUGUAUACCACCUUCCAUGUUGCCCUAUCAAAUCAGAAGGCUUCUGUCAUUUUCAGACAUUGCCCCCGCCUCUCCCGAAUUUAUUGACUGAUUGAGACCGAGUUCGAGCCGGCGACUCGUGUCAUCCUAUAGCUUAAAUUUUCUUUUCAAGGUGCUAUGUACCCAUGCCUAGAAGUCCUUAUUCAGCUUCCUGGUGAUUUUCUUUGAAGCUUCUGUCAUGGCGAAAUUAUCAUGCAGGCGACCAGCUCCGUAUUGGACUGUUUUACGCAGUUAUCAUCACAGUCUCUCACACUAAUCAAAUCUCAAUGGAUUUCACGUUAUGAAAUGUAAUGAGUGCAUGAACGCAGAGUGGAAUUAAGCCACAGAAUAUAGCAUAAUAUAUUUACGGGGAGGUGAAUUUUCUUAAACCUAUUUUUUUGUCAAUAAUAUUUUCCUGAUUUCUUCCUUCUAUGUUCAAAUCUACAAAUCUGGUUACAUGAGAUGCGUGAUCAUGUUUUCCCCCUCAGAAACAAUCAAUACAACAGCCCGCUGAGGUUUAUGGGCUAGUUUGAGCCCAUUAAACGAGUUGUCUUUCGAAACCAAUAGAAAAAGAAAACAAUAGUAUAACUUACUUCAUGAUUGUUUUUUCGGCAGAAAUGAUGUUUUUAAUUUUACUUGACAUUAAUUUUUUAUUUUUAAAUAAUUUUAAUAUAUUGAUAUUAAAAAUAAAUUUUAAAAAAUAAAAAAAUAUUUUAAAAAACAAUGGUACCAUAAUCUUAAUUUUUUUUUUAAAAAUCCAACUAUUUCAACUGAGGUUGGGCUUAGUAGUACGGACCGGGCCGGCCAUUCUUGUGACAGCAAAAGACAACAUACAUAGGCCUAAUGGUUGCGCAAAGCUUUAGGUCCAAGGAAUGUUUUUAAAACGACAGCAUUUUAAAAUAAGCUGGAGUAUAGUUUGCUAAAAGAAAAACAUUUAUCCCUUAACUAUCACCCAAUUCUCAACUGGGUCCUAAACAAAACCAAAAUUAUCAUUUGCAUACCCAUCAAUCAAGCAUUAUCCAAUUCAACCCAUCAUUAUAAUUUAUGACAAGAAAAAAGUGAUUUAGACAACUAGAUUCUCCCCUUUUUUUAUAUAUUAUUAAAGAGAUCCUUUUCCACUAAUUCUAGCUUGCCAUCUUAGCAUUUAUGAGUUUGGAAGCUCACAAAUCAUGCAAUAAAUAAAUAAAAUUUUGUGUACUGGCUCUUCUUCAAUUGGUUGGAUUUUAAAACUGUAGAUUGUUGAGUUGUAAGUCCAUGAAUGGUAUAGAAUUAUUCAGUUAAAAAAGGAAAAAGAGAGUUGAUUGGGUGUUGUGCAGAAGAUGGGAUCCAAUUGAGAUUUGCUUGUUUGGCGAUCCAAUUGAGAAUUGUUUAUAAUCUGGGGAUGAAUAUGUCGUUUUCAAGAAAAAGCUCUUCGUGGUAAUGGUAGUUCUAGUUCUAGGGCUUCUAGCAAUAGCACAAACUACGAAGUACCAGUCAAAACGCUCUCUUUCUCCGUCAAGCUAGUAGAAAUUUAACGGUAUUUUUUCUCACUUGCAAUUUACACAAUCCUCCAAAAAGGCCAAAAGGGCAAUUCCGUGUUGUCUGCUCAGGUAACUCUUCUCCAUUGAUGUUUUUCAUCUCCUUAGAAACUUGAUUUACAGAUUGCAUUUUGCUUAUUUCAUGUUCUUUUAUUGGGUAAAAGAAAAUCCUAAGGCUCAGAAGACAGUUUUUGCAGUGACCUAAGAUUUUGAUGUUUUCUGCUCGAUUAAAUGCAGAAGGCAGCAACAGCAUGCAAAUCUAGGGUAGGAAAUUGGAUGAGAAGUACAAAAUAAAAUUGUUUCUGCUUUCUUGAGGAAAUGAAGCAAGAAUGGUUUUAGAGUGACCCAGUUUGGUCUUUUGCUAAAUAAUUGCUAUUUUCGAAUGCUGGCUUGGAUUAGCGUGCCUUUUAUGAGGGUUUGUUGAACACGAGGGUUUACUUUCUGCCUUAUUGAUUGAUGAAUUUUGUGGUGAUUUUACUUGGGAGUAAUCUUUACUUUCUUUUGUUUCCCUGUUAUAUUUUUCCUCUUCUAGUCUUCAUUUAUUAUCAAUUGCAUGUCAAUGUAGACGUCACCCAAUUUGUUUACUUGUUUUCUGUAGUCUAUAGGCAGAGCCCUGUAUAGUUAUUUUGCUUAUUAACGGUUCUGGGGAUCUCUGGGCGGUUAACUGUAAAUAGAAAUUUGAUUUAGUUUGGAUUUGUGUGCUGGUGAUCGAUAGAGUAGAGGGACAAUUUCAAGCUUUUAACUCUUUUAUCUUUGCUUGCUUGACAUUCUUCUGAACUGGAGUCUGGUGAUCUCUGUCCAGGGUUACAUUGUAUGUGACAUGAAGAGGACAAUACCAUGGACUGACCCGGUUGAUGUUAUAUCAUCGGAUGAAUCUUCUUCCUCGGAUUCAGAUAUAGAGCUUAAUGAUGGACUUGAUGGCCAGCGGUUAUCCAAUUAUGUUACAAUCGAUCAACCCUUCAAAGAAAUGACAUCUGAGGGUACUAACACCUAUUUGGAUUUGGAUCCUGGUUAUAUAUUGUUUUGAUAAAAUUCGUUUGUGCAUUAUGCGAUCACCAAGUAACUUCACCUGUAUGAUACCGGUUGUAUCUCUGUGAAUGAACUGUUAAAAUGUUCCUUGUCUGGUUGAAUAUUAUCCCGCUGCUAGUCCAUUUUUUAUUCUGUCUUGAGUUGAAAGUUACUCUGGGCGGUCAUGCACUUGGGUUUUGCACUUGUUUAACAGAUAUGCUCAACCAUUCAUCUACAUUUUAGCCUUACUAAAUGUGUCAUUGUUCAGGUGUGUUGAUUAGAAGGGCAGAAAUGUAUCAAGAUUACAUGAGGCAUAUCCCUAUCCCAGUACAACGUGGCUCUGCCAUCCCAUUUUCCUCAUGGGUGGGGUUAGGCAAAUCCAUCAAGCAACUAUAUCAGCAGCCCUUGCAUUACCUCACCAACAUUCUUCUAAAUACAUGGGAUCAACAACGAAUUGGCAGCGAGGACGAGCAUACGCCCUUGGAUAUCAUGAUUCAUCCUUGUAAAGCUGAAGCCACCAUCUGGCUUGUUGAAGAAGUUCACAGGCGCACAUCAUCACACCAUCACGUGGCUAAAAUCUGGCAAUCUGACCCAAUGCAUCAUGCUUUUGUAGACUCCAUUUUCCCAAAGUUAUGAAGCACAUCUCGACUUUAAGCUUGAUUUUGUUGGAUGUUCCCUGAUAGCUUGGGCAAGAGGUAUGAACUGUAUAACCUGCAUCUGAAAUGGAACUGAAACUUCUCUUAUGGUUGUUCCUUUAUUGUUAUUUUUUCUUUUGUAUAAUUGUCACGUGCAUAAAUAGAUAUAUUUAGCUUUCUUUUUUUCACCCUUGUUCUUGAUUCCAAAUAAUGUUCUUGCGGCUGGAAGGUCGGAAAUUGCUAGGACAUGCCUUUUCCAAAUUGACGAUUCUAAUUUAGUCCGUGAUAAACGAAGAACUUGGGUUUGUGUAGCUCACUGGCAUCUCUAAGAUGUGGCCAUUGGGAAAAGCAGUGACAUAUCAAUUACCAGUAAUCACCACAAGAACAUAAACCUUGCUGGAAAAGGUGGAAACGAUUACUAUCUCGAGCAAUGAUUCAUCUUCCGUGUAAUUUUGAUACUGGCUUGGCAAAUGAGUGGCAAUCAGAGCAUAUUCGGAGAUUCUUUGCAACACGAAUUAUCAUUCCUUGACCUGUACUGAUAAGUGAUAAGUGCAAAAGCUAUCGCUAAUUAUUCACUAUUUCGACUGAACUGGAACUCUUUCUCCUUCUCAUUAACAUCAAGCAGAAGAAAACUCGUAAGGCCAGGAACGUAGCCAUUCUACAGCAAAUCUCUUUCAACAUAGGUUCAACUUGGGUCAUUUCUGGGUGUGAUUCAGCACCUGACGUGAACUCGUAAAUUUUUCCACUGAUCUCUAUCGAGCUUGAUCCAGGCAUUUUGUGGACUCCUUUCUCCUUUAGGUGUAGCCUGACCUCCAUAUAUGUUCGAUAGAAGAACAUGAAUCCCAGUCCUCUCAGGCUCCAAUUCAGCUAGCCUUUCAGCUGUAUAAGCUGCAACUCUACAUUUUUGUGUAUCCGGCAAGCAGCUAAAAGAGAUCCCGAGAUCACGUCAUUAGGCUCCAUUGGCAUGCUAUUUAUGAGACAUAAGAGCUUCGCUCAACAACCCAGCUCGGCCAAGCAAAUCAACCAUGCACCCAUAAUGGACAGCUUGAGGAGCUAUACAAUAGAUAUCCUUCAUGGCCCUAAAAAUAGCCAGCCCUGUUCUACUAACCCGCUGUGGCUCAAUGCAGUCAGCAGUCCCACAAAUACCACUCCAUGUGGUUUAAUCCCUUGCUGCAGCAUUUUAUUGAAAAGCUCAAUAGCCUCGUAACCAUUUCCCUCCAUCGCCAUUGCACCGAAGGCUACAGUCCUGGCUGAAACAUCUCUUUUCAUCACCUUGUUGAAAACUUGCAUUGCACUCUUUAGGUCACCACAUCUAGCAAACACAUCAAUCAAGGCUGUGCCUAGUUGCAGAUCACAGUGAAUAUCUUUCAACUAGAUAUAACUAUGGAUCCACUUUGAAAGGUCCAGAGCUCCUAGAUACCUGCAGGCAAUAAACUUCAGGAUCCACCCAAGUGAUGAUCUUUAUUAGUCAAUGCAAAUAUUUUUUACACGUGUCAUAUAAUUUAACAAAAUUCAAACUGGAGGAAAGUUAAUGAAACACAUAGUAAAAGGAUAGAAUUUAUUAAACAAGAUUUGUAUAAGGGAAAAAUCCAAAAAAAAUAAAAAAAGUGGAAACUUUAUUUAUUUAAUUGAGAUACACAGAGAAGACAACGUUACAUGCACCCACCGGGCUUAGCAUUGGGUUACAAGUUUCUUGGUGAAACAAAGAUGGAUUAUCAGAUUCUUAUUCCCGGUUUCUUUAUCUUUACAUGAUCGCUUCUCGGUUUUUUUAGCACUUGAAAAAUUUAAGGAUAUUUGGAGAGAACCCUGCUUAUAGCUCUGAUGGUGUUUGGGGUAGUCCUGCAGCAGCCUCCAAAUAGAGAAGCCCCGGCUUCACGCCACCUACCUAUGUAUGAGACGAAGUCUUCAUCUACUACCACUCCACUUGAUUUCUGCAACAGUACACAUUGAAUCAAACUUCUGAAUCACUAACGUUAAGGAGAUGGUGCAAGUGAUUGAUCAAAACAGGAACAAAUUUUGCUUCGUAACGACAAUAGGAUGUUAAAGAGCUUCGUUGUCCUAAAAGGGCUGUUGUAUACAAAAAUAUUCAGCAAUUCUAAAUAACGAAUUAGCAACUGUGCAGUUCUUCAGCCACUCCUCCUUACGGGGACGUAGUACUUGGUGGAGAAACCCACAAAGAACAGCCUGUUAUUUGAAGAAAAAAGAACAUGAGAAUGCUCACCACCCACUGCUUAAGCUCAGCAUUGUACGUCUCGCCGCUGUUGGGAUAUAUGACUAUUGGCUUACUUGUUGCCUGCCAGAUUAACCAGCCAAAAAGCGUUAGUCCCAGAAGUUGAUUAGGUUGAAGCAGAGGUUCUUCUGGAAAUUUGGUUUUAACUAACAAAAAUAUUAUUAACUUCAGAAAACAGACCUUUUGGAUGGAGAGAACGAGUCCAUGGAUAAAUCUUGGAGGGGUACAGUUGAUUCCAACAGCAACAACUCGUUUGCAGGAAUCUGCAAUGGAGGCACACUCAAGGAUGGAAUCACCACUGACCACAUUAAUUCCAUCCUUGGAAUUGAAAGAGAACCAUGCUGGAAUAUUCAUCUCUUCCUCCUCAAGAAGCUCUGCAUAAGCCUGAUCAACAAAACCAAGCAAGAUUACGAGAGUUAAUUGCCAGAAAAGGUACACGCUAUGACAUUCUUAAUAAAAGCCACAGAAUCAUUAAUUGAUCUACUCAGAAAUCAACCAAUUCGUUUGUGUAAUUAUGAAAUAUAUUAACUACCUUUGCCUCGAGCUUAUUCGGAAUUGUCUCAAACGCAAUCAGGUCAGCACCUGAUUUCGCUAGAAUCUGCAACCUUCUCCUAUGAAAAUCCUUCAAUGUUUUUAGAGAAACUGCAUCACCAUAUUUCCCACUGUAAAGAGAGACAGCGGCAGAUUGUUGACAGGUAGAAGAAAAGGGAAUUACUAUAAGGCAUGAUAAUCUUGAUGUAAUAUUUGGUGAUUGCUUGUGCUAUAAAUAUUGUCGCAUAAUCUGAUAGCAAGAGCAAAAACUAUGACGUUAAAUCAUUUAGUUACUAACCUAUACUCGGAGCCAUCAGCCAAAUAAGCACCAUAGCUGCCAAUGGAAGCAGCAACUAAAACAGGACGUCUUGAGAUGUUUCCACUUUCAAUGUAAUCCGAAGAACCUUUGGUAGUACAUUUGUCAUAGUAAAUUUCCCUUGCCUCGCAUGCAAUUUCAACACUUCUCCUAAGCAAUAAUUCAGCUUCUUCUUCAGACAAACCUUUAGCCACAAAACCCUGAAUAGUAGCCUGUCACAUUUUAUUUUUUUUUAAACGUGUCAGCUUAAAAUUUAUCUCCACAAAAACUUGUAUAAUAUAAUUGGAUUAUGAAUAUUAAAAAUACCUGAUAAGAUGCUGUUAUUAUGAUAUUUGCACCAGCAUGAAGAUAAUCUAGGUGAACCUGUCAUGUUAAACACGAUCAACAAUAAUAUUCACGAUCAAGAAAGGAAUGCCGUCGAGGACAGCAACUAAUGUAAUUGCCCAAUUUUAGCUGUCCAUGAACUCUUUAAGCUUGUGGACUCAAGAACAUGUACACGAGAUCCAUUGUGUCUAACUGGUACAAUUGCACGAAAAAUUGGCACAGUUCAUGUUUCUUCAAAGUUCAAAAGAAUUGGUGUUCAACUUCGUACACUACAUUGCGCAUGUAAGGCCUGUUUAUUUCUAUAUUUUAAAAAUAUUUUUGAAAAAAUUUAAAUUUUAUUUAUUUAUUUAUUUAUUUCAAAUUAAUAUGUUUUUAGUGUUUUCAAAUCAUUUUAAUGUGCUGAUAUCAAAAAUAAUUUUUAAAAAAUAAAAAAACAUCAUUAACAUGUAUUUUGGUAUGAAAAGUUAUUUGAAAAGCAAUCAUAAACAUAUUACUAAACAAGUUUGUAGUCAAAAUUGGCCAUUUUCGUGCCGACUAGGGAUCAUUAUUAUCUUUCCAUGGAGUCGUUGAAUUUGAUGUAAUAACUUUUUAAUUUUUCAAAAUUCUAAGCAUGAAACUGGAAUAAAACAAAAAUAUUCCUUCUGGAAUUUGGCUAAAAAUCUGGAACAGAUAGAGAUUUUAAAUGAGAGGAUAAUUAUUUUAUUUUAUUUUAUUUUUUAAAUUAAUAUAAAAUAUUUUAGUAAUGAAACGAAACGAAAUGAAAUUAACGUAAAGUUAUAACCAAACAUAGCUCACGUUCACUCACUCUUUUUAAUUAUCUCUUUCAUUUCUUUGAUUUUUCCCAAAUAUUUUUGUUUUAUUUUUGUACUCCCAGUACUCUUUCAUCACAUAAUAACAUGAUAUUUAUUAUAGGUUAAAAGAAUCAUCUCAAAUUCAAUAAAUAAAUUUUUAAAAAUAAUUUUAUAUUGAUCUUUAAUAUAUACAUUUUUAGAUAAAAAUUAUUUAAAUUCGAAAUUUAUAUUAAUUUUAUUAAUUAAAAUAAAAUAUAAAAUUCAAUCCUAUAACUGUUUAAUUAUCAUAUCUGUAAUAUUAUCUCAAAAAAUAUCUUAAUUUAAAAUAUAUACUUAUACUUUUUAACUUGCACGAAAUAGACACGUUUCAUUUGUUCCGCAUGGCAAUUGACACGUCAAUAAAAACACCAUUGGUCUGGGCAAGGAAGAGCCUUCGCCACGUAAUUUGUUAGAAGAUGAUAACAAGCUCCCUUCGUAUCACAUAUGUAAGAGCCACGACACCGAUGUCCUAACUUUUGGUUCACUUCAUUAUCUCUAAGAAGCAAGUUAGGAUCAUAACAAAUUCACAAUUACCAUCAACCUAAAAUAGCUUAGCACCCGAAAGAGGGGAAAAAAGAUUCUUCUAAAAAUAAUAAAAAAUAUAUAUUUAAAUUUUUCAAUGCUCUUUUUACAUGCUUCAAGACAGUGUUAAAUAAAAUACUAUUUUACCAUCUCUUUACAAAAAUGCUAUUUCUAUAUAUUUUGCAAAAAUACUAAAAUACUAUUCAUUACAAUAAUAAUAUUUUUUUCACUCUUUUUUUCUUUUCUUUUUUACAUUUAUAUUUUUUUUAUAAAAUUAAUUUAUUGAUUCCAUGAUCUUUCCUCACCCAGAUUGAUUUAAAUUAUUUUUUAUUUUUUUUUAAUUUUAUAUUUUAAUAUCGGGUUGAUAGAAAAUUUUUCAAGUUAUUUUUAGAUUUGUUGAAUCAAUUGAAUCUUAUUAAAUUAUUAAAAUAGUUAUGUAUCAAAUAUAUUAAAAUAUAAUAAAAUCUUCUAAAUAAAGCAUAAGCUAAAAUAAAUUAUUUCUAACAGCAUCUUUUACAUGGGAGAUGCUAUAAGAAUAAAAUUUUCAUAAUUCCACAUAGAAAGGAACACGUACAACCUCUUUUUACACAUAAUUAAUUGUAGAUGCCCACUACCUCUUUAUAUACUAGUUAUGACAAUGCAUAAUUAGCAAUCAAACUAAAAAUAAAAUAAAUUGGACUCUCAAGUAACUAUGUAGAAAGAAAUCCUCCAACAUUAGAACCAAGAACACAAUCAAGAUUACAUAUACAACUAGUAAAAAAAAAAGGUUUCGUGCACGCUCGGAAACAACAUGAAAAAGAAAGGUGAUGAAAGGAAUCAUAUUUUCCAAUCAUAAUUUUUCUCUUUUAUGUUCACACAAAGAGGAAAACAAAACAGUUAAUUAAUCUGCACAGAGAAAUGCUUCCAAAUAUAGAGAGGGGGUGAGAGAGGGUUACCUUUCUAACAAGAUGAGGAGAACUGAUGAGGCAUUUGGCACUCCAGAGAGGGUCGUUAAGGUCAGCACCAUGUCGUUCAAGUUCAGUGGCGAAGCCGCCAUCAACAACAGCAUAGCCACCACAUUUCUGGAGUAAAUCCGUCAUCAACCUCGACGAAGUUUCAACGAUUCCCAAUUCCAUGUUGUUAAUGAUUAUGAUUAAGAAGAAAGACAGAAGAGGUUGAGAGAGAUGGCGAGUAGCCAAUAUGGAAAAAGAAACAGAAAGCACCAAGUUAAUGCUGUCCAAAUUCUUGCUAUCAAUUUAUAGAGACAAAAAAGGAGGUGCGGGUGUUUGGAAUUCGAUUAUGGUUAUUUUUUAAAGUGUUUUUUUAUUUAAAAAUGUAUUAAAAUAAUAUAUUUUUUUAUUUUUUAAAAAAUUAUUUUUGACAUUAACACAUAAAAUAAUCUAAAAAAAUAAAAAAUAAUGUUAAUUUAAAAUAAAAAAAAUAAAAAAUAAACAAAAAUAUUUUUAAAAUGAAAAAACAAAUAUUUAGACAUACUACAAAUUGACGUGUCGUUCUUACACACAACAAUAAAUGACAUGUCUAUCAUAUGUGAUGCUAAAAGUUAGUGGUCACGGGUAUAGUUUUGAAACCCGACUGGGCCCGGUGGGUAAACCUGGGACCCGGCUGACUGGGACUAGAACUGGACCUGGUUGAAAGGAAGGAAAAACCCGGUGGGUUGACCCGGCAAGACCUGGCCGCAAACUCGUUGACUUUUAUUAUUAUUUUUUGUUUUUUUUACUAAAACAACGUCGUUUUGAUUUAAAAAAAAAAAUUUGACCCAGCCAACCUGGUAACCCGGUCAAAACCUGGAACCCAGAUCUUGAAUCGGGCUGGCCACCGAGCCGGGUCUUAAAACUAUAGUCGCGAGCCUUUCCAUCACCAUUCACCACGACUUAUCCUUCGUAAUUCAGGAUUAACUGCUCCAAAUCAUGUUAAUCAAAUUUGUGCAAGUAUUAUGGUAAGUAUUGAAAUACCUUGGUACAUAAAUUUCUAUAAAAAUGAAAAAUAUCCUCCCUUUAAAUACCGUUUGAACUAUUGAUUUACAUAAUUACAAGUAAUUAAUCAUCGAUCCAAAUUGAGUAUUUUUAGAUAAUAGACCUCAACAUAAACUAUAAAAUUUGAUUUUGUUAAGAAACAUUUCAUGAGCAAGGAAUUAUAAAUUUUGCAUGGUACUAUAAUUAAAAGAGCCGAAGAAAUUAUAAAAUUGGAGUUCACAGUUAACUUCCAACUUAAUUGAAAGCAUAAGUAUGCUUAUUGUGAAAAUCUGAUUUAAAGAAUGGCUACGAUAUACAAACUCUUAUAUAUCCUCUUAUACAUUAAUUAAAAAUUAAAAACCAGAUAAGGAUGAAAAUCCUUCACUUCAGGAAAUGAUUCUUGCAAAGUAUUGUUGUUAUCUUCUCUAAUGAGUUGUAGUCUUGUAGAUCAGUUACGUUAGCGUUCUCUCUUUUACAAAGAUCUCAAUCCUCAGGUUGGAACAUAUAUUUUAUAACGAAAAACAAAUGUAGGCAAUUGUUGAAAAAACAUCAUAAAAUUGAAAAAUAAUAGAAGAGUUGCAAUCCAAUUAGAUAAAAAAAAAAAUCCUAAAUGAAUUAGGAAAAUAUACGAAAUUUCAAACGGUAACUUACAGGUUUUAUUUGAAAGUUUUUCUAAACUUUAAUGGAUAUGAAAUUUUAAUCCUAAAAAAAAUUAUAUAUAGCCUCUGAAAUUUUCUAUAAAAAUUCCAUUCUGAUUUAAUUUUUAGAUUGAAAAUUAUAUCAAUUAAUAUGGAGCUACAAAUUAAAAAAAUAAUUACAUCAAUCUUUCUAAAUUAAAAAAAAAAACUCAUCAUCAAGUUUAGAAUUGUUUUUACCUCAAUUUCAUGGAUAUUUAAUCUAAACUCCCCAACAUUUUUUUCUUUAUUUGCUUUAAGUGUGUAACAAUUCAGGAUAUCAACCAUGGUCCUUCAUCUUAAAAUUUGUAUAAAAAAUAAUAAUUGAUAAAUUAUUUUUUUUUUUAUUAACUUUAAAUUUUUAUUAUAAAUCUCAAACUUAAUUCAUGCAUAUAUGUUCAAUCCAUAUAACACUUGAAUACAUAUGCCUUUGUGAUAACAAUAAAAUUAUGAUUAAAAAGAAUCAACCUACUUUAAAUUAAGGGUUAAUUACAAAAAAUUUCUUAUAGUUUUAUCUAAAUUUCAUUCUCGUUUUAUAUUUUUAUAAAUUAUAUUUUUUACGAAUUUAUAUGUUCAAUAACAAUUUAUAUCCUCAAAAAUAUUUUUUAUUUGAUUCAAGAUAUAAAGUAUAAUUUAUAAAAAUAUAGAGAUAAAAUAAGAUAUAAAUCAAAUUAUCAAAGUACUAUUUUUCUAACUAUCCCUUAAAUUAAUAUAAAAAAAAAAUUAUUCAACGCCUUUCUUGUUUUAUUUACACUCAAAGUCUAUCUUAUUAAUGUCAACACCAUCAAUGGUACCAACCUCUUUCUUAGGUGGUGAAUAGAAACAAAUCCUGAUAAGGAUAUUUAUCAUUAUCUAAUAUAAAACUAGACACAGUCUGCAGCAGCUUGUAUCCAUCUUCACGUAAAAAAUAAAGAAACGCAGCUUACGUGUUGUAGGCUAUGGAGAUGUCUGCUUGAAUCUGAUCCAAAUUCAGUCCAGGUUCUGUCCAUUUUAAGGUUUUAAUUUUACAAAAAGAAAGACAAGGAAAAGGAGAAAAAGUUCCUUUUAGACGAGUUGAAAUUUGAGAAAGAAGAAACUUUUUUUGCGUUUUAAACAUGUUUUUUUUUUAAAAAAAGAAUUUUGUUUUAAAUUAAUAAUUUUUUAUGUUUUCAGAUAUUUUAAUACGUUAAUAUUAAAAAAUAAUUUUUAAAAAAUAAAAAAAAUAUUAUUUUAAUAUAUUUUUAAAUAAAAUAUAUUUUAAAAAAUAAAACAACAAUACUCUAAAUAGAUCAUAAAAGUCUUUUCCUUUCUUAUUUUUAAUAAAAAAAAUAACUCUGGAUAAACAGCCCAGAAACUUAAGAUUCCAACGCUAUGUCCUUUUCUAUGCUCCUAUAAGAAGUGAUUUAUAUGCAACAUUUGGAAGCAUUGACAAAUGAUUUUUAACUUGUACGAUGUUAUGGACAGAUUGUGUUUGUUAUAUAUAUAAUUAUCAUUUUUUUAAAAAAAUUAAGUAAUAUAUCCGAUGAUGAAAUUAAGGAUAUAAAAUAAUAUUAAGAUAUAAAGUGUAAAUGUGUUUAGUAAGUUUAAAGACAAUGGAUUAAUUAGAAUGGAUCCAAUAGAAGAUUAAUUUAUAUCUUAAAUCAAUUUAAAAUAAAAAUAUAUGCAAAUCGAUGGGUCUCAAACGCAAGGCACAAGAUAAAUAAAUAAAAAUUAGACAUGUAAAUUAAAAAAAUAAGAGAGAAAAAUAAAAAUAAAAAACUUUUUUGAUUAAUUUUUUUUUUACUCCUCCCUCUUGGAGGGCAGUACUUCGACAUCUUAAGUGUUUUUGUCAAAAAAUAUCUCAACACAAUAGCUUAAAGUAUUAGAUGAAAUCUCAAGAUAUGAUUUAUAUUAUUUUUUAACACAUCCCCUCAAGUGAAAGCUCUUUGGACUUGAAAUUUACACUGGCUCAUAUUACUUUAUAUUUAUUUUUUAUCAAAUAAAUGGGGAUACCGAGAUUUAAACUCGUGAUCGCCUGGUCAGUAAGACUCUGAUACAAUAUUAAAAAACCAUCUAAACCUAAUAGCUUAAACUGUUAAGUAAAAUUUCAGAAUAUAAUUUAUAUUAUUCUUUAACACUAUACUCUUUAUAAAUUUUUCUUCCUUUUAAUUUUGUGUGCUAAAUAAGGGCAAAGGAGGUGAAAAAUUUACUUCACCUCCUUUCCUCUCGUACUAAACAUAAUCUAACGACGAAGUUACGAGGUUAACAAGAGGUGAGGAUUUCUUUGAUUUUUUUUUAAAUAAACUAUAUAUAAAAAAUAUUUAUGCAGUAAAUUAAUUUUUUAGAAUAAAAAAAUCAUUAAAUACAAAUAUAUAAAGAGAUUGCAUUAUCGCUAAACAUCCAUAUGAAUUGUACCGAGAAGUAUAAAAUAAGAAAACGAUAUUAUUAUAUUCUUCUUUUAAUUAUUUAUUGAAUGAUCUUAUGCAACAUCUUUUCACAACACAAAAAUCUUCGAGUUUUUAACAAUAGCAUAAUAGCUUUGACUUAACUUCUUUAUUAUGUCAAUCAAUGAUAUAGUUUUAAAAUAGUAUAAAUGCUUUGCAAUUCAAAAUGUUUUUAAGUUCAAAACACUUCAAUUCAUAUCUUAAAUAGAAUUUCUAUUCUAUAAAAUACAUAGAUAAAAAAUAAAUUUAAGCAUACAAUUACCAUUAACAAUUUUUUCAACUAACAUUUAUAAAUAAAUAAUUUAUGGAAGUUACCAGUUUAAAUUUCACAAGCUUUAGGGUUACUUAAAAUUUAUAUGAUUGUUAAUUUUAGGACUUGUAGGAUUAGUCGAGAUACAUAUAAAUUAAACUGAAUAUUUAUAUUAAUAAAAAAAUAUAUUCAUAAACAAAUAAAUAUAUAUUUGUGUGUUCUCAUAAUUUUCCUUAGUGCGGGGGGCGGCUCCACCACAAGUGUUAAUAAGCUAUUAAUUUUUAAGUCCUCACUGUAUAGGAGGUAGUCUAGAUUAAAUGUUAGAACAAUUUUUUUUUAAUUUUUUUUUUGUUAUCAAUCGAUCAUCACUUUUCUUUAUCAAUAGGGGUUACGAAAUUUUAAGGUUCCACCUUAUUGCCACAUGUGACAUAUUGGUCUUCGUAUGUGCAGACACAGGACCAAAUGUGGAAAUCACAUGUUCCUUUGUACAUGCAGAGGACCGUAUCCAACAACUAACGUCGUUAAUAAGAUUAAUAGGAGGGAGGAGGUUUAGUUUAACGGGGUAUAUUUUGAGUUUGUUAUUUAAUAAUUAUAAGUUUGAAUUUUUUUUAAAAUUAUUAAAUAUUUAUAUAUUUAUUAAUUUUAAAAUUUAUAAGAUUAAUUAAGAUAGACGUUAGAAAUAAAAAAAAAUUAAAAGGGUUAACAAUAAUUUGGAUUUCCAUGCUUAUCCAUUACAAGCUUGAUUGUAAGCGGGGCUGGCUAGAUUUUUUAUUUUUUAUUUAUUUUUUUAUAUUUUUAAAUUAUUUUAAUAUAUUAAUUUUAAAAAACAAAUUAUUACUAUAAUACCAAAUAAGCUAUGUAUAUAUAAAGAAACUAAAUAAAGCAAUGUUUGAAAUGACCAUAAAUUUGUCGUUUUAGGUACAGCGAUUUCCAGACGAAAGGAAGUGGGUAGGCAAGCAACAUCAAUUUGAUCCGACUGGGAGUUCCACUUCCACUUAUUGUUGGAAAAUCUUGAAGGACUCGUGCGCUAUGAGACAGGCAACGAUCUUAUCGUGUUGAGCCUAAAAGGAGACAUUCUUUGUGGUCUGGAGAAUUUGCUCACACAAUCACUCUCCAUUUAUAAAAUUCCAGUUGAUUAAAGCUUGCUCGCUAGUGGAUCGGGAUUUUUAUUUUUAUUUUUUUUACUCGGUAGGAGAAAGCUUCAAAUUUCUAAGCCUGAAAUCUAUUUAAUUUUGAAAUCUUCAAGUUUAGCCAAUGGGCUGCUGUCGUACACACAAACGUGUCAGGGUUUUGUGCCCUUUAAGUCCAAUAUCCGCUUAAUGGGCGGGAUGGGUUUGAUCAGAGCUAUCGUUUUGAGGCUGAGUAUUGGGCUUCAGGUGGAGUUGGACAAAUGGGCUUAGCCUGUCACGACCCGAAUCCCGGAUCCGUGACCGGCAACGUAGGAGCGGUGUCGAAAGGACACCUCACCUACGCUAAGCCUCAGAACGGAAAUAUCAAAAGAACAAUUUGUUCAAAAAUACGCAGCGGCUCAUAAUAUUCAGAAAUAUUAUAUUAUUCAAAUACUGAUGAAACCGAAAGAUAGUUAUUAAAACAAAAAUAAUAAUUCAUAAUACUCAUUACAUUGUCAAAAUCCAAAUUUAAUUAAACCAAGGUAACAGUGGAGCGUCUAAGACAUCAAAUCAAAACUGAAAGGAAAACCUCGCGAACAAGCAAGGCAUACCGACCAGAACUGAAGAAGCGGAAACACUCAACAAAGUCUCAGAAACUAAGAACCUGAAAUAAUAUUAAAAAAAUGAGGGUGAGUCCAACCAACUCAGUGAGGGAAUAACAUUUAAUAUACAUUUCAGAUAUUAAUAAUUUGUAAGAUGAUAUAUCUUAAUAUACAUAUACAUAUACUUACUAAACAUAAUAUCAUAACGUAACAUAUUAUCAUAACGUAGUGGAUUACAUGUCAGAGAACAGAUGAUACCCGAAGGUGACCAGAUGACACCCGUCGGUGACCAGAUGACACCCGUCGGUGACCACUGUGGGAUGAUCAAUCGCCACAGGCUGAUGCCUCUCUCACCAGCUAGGUAACAGAAUACUAUGUGCACACAUGCUAACUAUUCUCCGUUAGCAUGGAGUACUGACAAGUCCCAUAUCAAGGCAUAACAAAUAUUCACAUAAUCAUCAAAGAAUCGUAUAUCAUAUCAAAUAGAAUUUACUUUAACAGAUUGCGAAUGCAAAUUCAAGAAUAAAUGAGUACUCGGAAAAUAAAGCAACAUAUAUAAAUAUUCAAGAAACUUAGUCGUACUCAUUGUAUAAUCAACAUACAUAUUUAUUUAUAUUAUAUGCAUAUUAAAGAUUAUUCCACUCACCCGGAAAAUACUGAACUAAAGGAAUGUCAGACAAAAGACCCGGAAAUCCGAUUAAGGAUCGUUAGGAGAACCUACAAUAAAUAUAUAAAAUAUACUCAAAAACAAUUCAAAAAAAAGAUCUCAAUGCAUAAAAUCAAACCGGGCUUAAUCUCCCAAGUUUAGGGACUAAAACGACAAUUUUCCAAAACAGGGACCAAAACGUAAUUUUACCAAAAUUGGAGGGCCAAAUUGUAAAUACAUAACCAUACUGAAAUUAUCCAUAAUUAAUCCUCAAUUCUGUCCAGGAUAUAUCAUUAUGCUCCAAGGACCAUUCUGGAACUUUACCAAAUUUUUAGGGUCAAAUUAUACUUUUUGUCAAAUUGGAGGACCAAACUGAAAAUAUUAAUUAUACUGGAAUUUUGUCCUUAAAUCAUCCUCAGUUCUGUUCAGAACCUCAAUUUAUGCCCCAGGGACCAAUCUGUAAAAUUUCCAAAGUUCGGGGACUAAACUGCAAUUUCUAUAAAUUGAGGGACCAAACUGAAUUUUCGUCAUCUUCAACCUCAAACCCAGAAUUUCAACAGAUCACCUACUGUUAGUUCCAGAUUUAUACCUCAACUUCAUCAUUCAAUUCAACCAUAACUCAAAAUCAUCAUAUUUCUCUACAAUCUCUCCAAUUCAACUAAAUAAUCAAAUACCCACAUCAAUCAACUCCUUAAUUCAAACUAAUUCAUCAAUAAACUCAAAAUUCAAAACUUUAAAAUUAAUCAAAAACCGAAAUUUAACAUAUUAUAUACUUAAAACCAUAAAUCUUACCUUUUUACUUAUUUCCUCUACUUCUUUUCUCCUUUUCCCUUUAUUUUCCCUUAUUUUCUCUUCUUCUUCUUCUUCCUCCCUUCUCUCUCCCGUAGCUCUCUUUCUCUCAAAAUCAGAUCCUUUUUUUUUUUUUUUUUCUUUUCUUCUAUUUAUAUUUAUCAACUAUUGGUCAAUUACCAAACUACCCUUCAAUCAUUAUACUUACUAUUUAGCCUCCAAGGGCUUUAUUGUAUUUUCCAAUCUUUUUAACUCAAAAUAUUACAUAGCCCAAGAUAUAUAACGGUAGAAAUGUUCAGAUUUUUUCUUCUUUAUUCGCAACACUGGAUAUGCAUACUUCAAACCGGAAAAACAUAAAGCCAGAGUGAGCAUGGACAGAGAUCGAUUCAAACGACGGUCCAUGUUUCAAACCUGCAAAUUUAAGUACAAUUCUCAUAAUUCACCGUUUCUAAUUUAUAUUUUUAAAUUAUUUUUUUCAUUUUAAGAAGGUUUAACACGGAUUGAGACCAUACUAUUCAUUGCAUUGACUCGUAUCCAAAAGCUCCCAUCAAAAGCAAAAUUAGCAGGUGGUGUUGAACUUCAACCAGGUAAAGGCAGCAGCUGCAAGAACUGGUGCCGCAAAAAAUGUUCACAGGCUUGCAUCCUCAAAGGGCUGCAGUGCCAUGCCACUAACCGGUUAUUCACACAUCCCGAUCCAGCCAAUCUACCAAGACUGCUUUCCUAAAACGCAAGUGCUAUCACGCAUGAAUUGCAGAGCCCUUGCAGUGCCAACACAUCCUGUGCAAGAAGCACGGUAGCUUGUAAUAAGCAAAAGAUUACAACUUCAAAACAAAAAACCACCUUAUUUCCCCAUUCUUGCAGAAUAAUGAAUAGACUGUUUUUCAUCUCGUGAAGCAAGAGUUUGUAACCAAUCGAACUAAGAGCUGGAUGUCGCAACUCUGACUCAUUACAAAAUGAAUGGGGGAGAGACGAGGAGGAGGAAGGUAAAGAACACAACUUAGGGUCCGCGAGCAGGGGUCAAACAGAAACAGGCAGAUGCCUGGUCUUCAGGUAUCAUCCCUCCUCCCUUGCUUGUAUCAACCGCUUCUAACAUUUUCACCACCUCAGCCAUUUCAGGACGUUUUUCUGCAUUUCCAUCCCAGCAUUUUCGCAUGACAUUUGCAAAAGAACUUGGACAACAUCUUGGAAUCUCUGGCCGUAAAUUCUGCCAAUGAAAUCAUGAAGCAUGAAUUUCCCAAUAUUUGAUGACCUUUGGCAGGAUGCUAGAUCUUAAGACCUCGAACAAAGUUUUAGCAAGAGAACAAAAUGUUUUCAUAAAAAGAUAUCAAUUCUCUCGAGAGCUUUACAGCUAACUAAGCUCAGCCUUUUCCUCCCUUGCUUGUAAAAACCAAUAAAGGCAUUUGAAAGCAUUACGAGGGAUAUCCAGUGAUGUCAAUUCCAUAUUGCCACUUUGCUAAAAGUAGCUGGGAUGCAUCAAUGCUGUACAAUAAAUUAGAUAGAAGGCCAUAUGAAUCACUGAGUUUGAAAGAAGAAAUGGACCUGAGUCAUUCAUGAACUGCUGACAAUGGCUCCCUCACUUGCGAGAUGCCAAAUCACAUGUCAUGUGGAUAACAAUAUGGUCACAAAAUUCUUUCCUAAAUCCAUUAAUUAUGAACGGUGAUAACAAUUACUUUGAGCCUCCUCAGGUCACCAUACAACCAAAAGAAAGAAAGAAAAGCACGAACAAGAAAGAUAAGAAGAAGAACUAGGCAUGAGGGCUUGCUUAAAUUACAAAACUAACCUGUCGAACAACAGCAGAGGAGACAUCAGCGAAGCUAAGAUUAGGGUAAGGCAUGUCACAACAAUAUAUUUCCCAUAAGCAGAUGCCAAAGCUGUAGACAUCACAUCUUCUGUUAUACGGUUUGCCAUCAAGAACCUGCAUAAAGUAUCAGGUUAGAUAGUUGCAAUUAAAUAACAAUUCAAAUAUGCAAAUUCAAUUGCAUCCCGUGUCCAUAUGGUUAUAAAUUUAUAAUUAACAGAAAAAACACGCCCUCACAGAUUCCAUAUUGAACAUGGCACAAGGAUUGAUUUUAUCAUCAUUACACAUCAUUUAUAUGCAUUUCUGGACUUGUUUAUAUAACCAAUCACUUGUUAAUAUACAAAAUUUUCUUCAUAAACCACUUCUGCCUAGGGAAGAAAAGGUUUUGUUAAAGCAUGAAAUACCUCUGGGGCCAUGUAUCCAAGUGUGCCAGUCUCACCAGUCAUCUCACAUGGAUUCUGAGCUUCAACACGGGCAACACCAAAAUCAGCAAUUUUGAGAUUUCUAUGAGAAUCUAGUAACAUGUUUUCAGUCUUGACAUCACGAUGUACAAUCUUCUUUGAAUGUAGAUAGCUAAGACUGCAAAUUAGUAAAACUAGUCUGUAAUUUCAUUUUUUUAGGGAAUUUUUCAAUAAAAGAAAAUUAACAAAAACUAAAACUCACCCCCUAGAGAGAUCCAAAGCAAGUUGGAUCACAACCUUAAAAGCAAGUUUUUUUCGACUAUUUCUUAUCAAGUAGUUUUUAAGCGUCCCACCAGGGAGAUACUCAACAACAACACAGCAUGCCCUAGCAGGAAGGGAGAUGUAACCAUCAGAUGGGUUUUUGGCAGGAAUUUUCAGGUUAGAAGUUCCCAUUGAUGCUCCAACAAACUGUUAAAAAACAUAAAGCAUCAGAAAUAAAAAUAACACAAAUGAUAAGCUUAUGGUAACAACUAGAAUGACUGGGAGGAUGAUCCUUCAAGCAUAUGGUUUCAACUCAAAAAUCUUGCUCAAGUAGAAAAGCAUUUUUCCCGUUGAUGUAUGUCAAAAUUUACAUAUAGUUUAUGAAUUCCAUGCACUAUGAUAAGAUACAGAAAUAUAACUAUGUUUAAAGCAAAGUGUCAAGAAAACCAUGCUUGCCAAGAGGAACCUGUAAUGCAAUUACUGGCAAGGUAAUACAAGAUGGACAAUUGCAUGACCCAAAAAAGCCAACUUUCAUGUAACAUGAUGCUCAUAAUAAAAUGAACAUAACAAGUUUAAGAAUGAGUUCGUACUUUUGUAACAUUAGGAUGGUCAAGCUUGUGCCAGACAGCAACCUCUUGCUGAAAUGAUGCCCGCACAGCAGUGGUUUCAGCAGUUGUGGCAAUACCAUCCUCCCCCCAGUCCAACAUUUUCACUAUAACAUCCAACAACAGUUCAGUGAGGGAUCAACAUCAACAUGCACAGUGCUGAAUGCUAACAAUCUCUCCAAUUGAAACAGACCGCAGUUUCAUCAAUGCUUAUCAGGAGUUGUAGUGAAAAGAUUUUGCAGGCAUUAGAUAUCAAACAAACCAAUUCAGACAGAGAAUGGCAAAAUUUUCUGAACUUCCAAUGACUUCUUGAGCAAGACAAGGAGAAAUUAGAGAGGCACGUAAACAUCCUAAAAUCAUUGCAUGAUAGUCAAUGAUCAAAAGAUGAUAAAUUUCAAAGGCAUUGCAAAUUUAAUGAUCACAAGCUAAGUUCUUAUAAAGUUAUAAUGGAUAAUCCAAACGAGGAUGUCAGCUUAUGAAAUCCUUUUCUUGCGCCCCCCCUCCCAAACUAAAAGAAGAGAUGCUCCCACCUUCCAAGCCUGAAAUACUAAUGAAGAUGAAUGGUUUGCCUUGUUACUUUUUUCUGUUACCCCCAAUCCAGGCAGGCAGCUUAAAAGGGACGCAUUCAAAAGUAGCAUACAAAAGAAUACGCAAGGGAUAGGGAAAACUGUUUCCUAGGAUUAGCGAUAAAAUGACAAGGCAACAAAGGAAAUCCAUUUCAAUAUGUCGUUGCGAAUACAAUGCCUGGCAAAACUUUAUAUUCAUUUCCACAUAUAUGCAACAAAAUUUAGACCAUGUUAAUAAGCAGCAGUAUAAAGGCAACUCGUAACAAAGAUUUGGAGGACAGGCAAAACACAAUAUCCUUAUUUACUCUCUAGCAUGACCUUUACAGAAACAGAAACCAAACAAAAUUAAGAACUCUGAAUAUCAAAACACUAAGAACCAUCACGUAAGCAUGAAAAGACACGGAAAUACAAAAUGAGCGCUGGGAAACAGAGAUCAAUGACCUGCAACAUCUUGGUUAUCAUAAGUACCACGAUACACGGUCCCAAAAGUACCACGGGCUACCUCGUGCCUUAUUUCCAAUUUAGACGAAUCAAUUUCCCACUCUUCUUUAGGCCUUUGGAUUUCGGUGUUCCUUGACCAGACCCUGCUCAGGUGCUUCUCAAGCUGUGCAUCCAAGCUUUUGAGAUCGAUUUUAUCAGCUCGAAAAAACAUAUCUUUGCUACUCACACCUCCUAUACCUUUCACCUUUGAAUUGGCACUACCUUCCUGGCUAUCCGGUUUCUUCUCUGGCAUGACAUCACCGGCAUCACCGCUUGUUUUUGAAUCCAUUGUAAAGAACCAAAUACAAGACAAUAGCCGUGAAUCCCAGAGACAACCUUAAAUUCUAGACGACAAUCCUAGAAAAGUAAAACAAAAAAACUUCAAUUUUUCAUCAUCAUACUCAUUGCCUUCGAAUUCCCAUGAACUGAUCAAGAUUUUAAGAUCAAAAAGGGAAAAGUUUCAAAAUUCUUAUGCAAUUACAAAUUAAAUGUGCAAAACAAACCCCUCCUAAGAUCAAAUUACUAAUCAAAGAUAGCAAUGAAAAGUUUUGAUCAAGUAGAAACCCAGUUUCACCAACCCAAAAUCCUAUUCAAGUUCCCUCCAAUAUUGACCUUAUAACCAAAAAAUUUCACUAUUUUGUAAAUAGAUUGCCUACCAAUCAGAAUUGAGAAUAAAAACUCUUUGUUAAUGAAUUGACCCUUACAUUGGUUCAAAAACUAAAUUUCCCAUCAUCGACUGUAUUUAUGUUUAUUUCCCGUAUCCGAACGAAACAAAACUGCGAACAAAAACAAAAGGUAAACCCUAAGAAAACGACCCAAUUCCCACCAUUAUCUAAACAAAGCCCAAUAAAAUAAGAAUGACCCAGAAUUCAAAAACUAGCAAAAUUUCGAAAAAUCAAAGCUUUAUGUACAAUAAAAUAAUAAUAAUAAUAAAAAACCAGCACGCAUGCAAGCAAGCAAAACCUAUAAACUGAAAAAAAAAAAUUAACCAAAAAAUGUCAAAGAAAGGGCAAUAAAGUUGACUUUGAAAUCUCUAGAAAGGGAUACGAAGAGCAAGGAUAGAGUCGGUCAAGGCUCAAUGAUAUCAUAUUCACCAUCAUCAACAUUCCCUUUGUUUUCUUCCACACAAUAUAAAUGGAAGAAGAGAAGAAGGUUUUUUUGUGGAUGGGAUUUCAAAGAAAAUUAUUAGCUUAGAAUAAUCGAACAAAAAAUAAAGCAACUGUUAUUAACCAAAUAGAGUGGAGAAGGCGUGGGAAGCGCCGAGGUUGGCAAAAAUACGGCCUGUUGGAGAGAGAGAGAGUGUGUUUCUAAAUAUAGCAUCGGAAAGUGUGUUUAAAAGAAAAGUAAAUCAAAGUACAAAACCAGUGUACGAAUACCAUGUCCCUGUGCACUCUGGUUUUGAUAUACACGAAAAACAAAUCCGACCAUCCAAGACAUGUUAGUAUAUCUCCAAGGAAACAGGAUCAAGUUAUAAAUUAGUUGGCUAACUUUACGAGUGAUUUGCAACCAUAAUUGUUCAAAUAAUCUUUAGUCCAAAUCGAUUUUGAUUCUAUAUGGGAUGGAAGUUUUCGAUAUGUCGAGUAUUUUUACAUUUUUCAAGCGGAUAUACUACUAACUUGUCUUGGAUAUACGAUUAUAGGAAUAUGAAAAGUGAAGGGAUAAGAAAUGAUUUUCAGCCCUUUUUAUCUAGAAAAUCUAAAUCUAUCAUAGUGGAUUUUCGGAGCCACCAAACCAUAUCUUAUCAGCAAGGAUAGGAAAUGCUGCUGUGUUCAUUUGUCCUUUUUAUACAUCAACUUCAAGAUAAUUGCUGCAAACAUCAUGAUGUUUUUUUAAGAAAAAAGAAAGUAAAACGUAAUAUGAGGAAUUAAUGUAAAUGUUUCCAGAUUGAUAAAAUCAAAUUAUUAAAGUUGAAUAGUAAGUAAGAAGUCAAUUAAAACUUUUUACUUGAAUUGUGGCUUUGUACUACUUUGAUUCUGCUCAUUAAUUAUUUUUAAAGUAUUUUAUUUAUAAAUAUAUUGAAAUAAUAUAUUUUUUAACUUUUUAAAAUUUAUUUUUGAUAACAUUAUAUUAAAAUGAUAAAAAAAUUGAAAUUAAAAAAAUUCAAUUUUUUUAAAUACUCUUGAAAGACAAAAAUAAACAGGCAAAGCUACUAUGAGCCGUAAAUAUUGAAAUUAGAAAGUCACAUGUGAGAUCUUUUUGUCACUGUCAAAGUCGAACAGUGAACAUAUAUCUUAAUUAAUUUAUCGUAAAUUAACACAACAAUUACUAAUAUUCAGCUGGAUUCAUGUCCAGACUCGGCCGUCCUUUAAUUUCAUUGUAAAGACCAAUAUUGUGGUAUUGCCAUCAACUAAAACAACAGCAAACUAGGGAUGUAUAAUUUAUAACGUUCUGUUAACAAGAGACACGAAUCUCAACAUGAGAAUGCUUGUAAAUAUAUUCUGAGUGGCUGCUUCUGGGCAUUCUGAUGAAGUUCUAUCAUUCCCAGAAGGGAAAAGCUGUAGACACGGAAUGCUUGGGUUGAGCAUAGAAGUUAAAUAUCUAAUUAUCAUGUCAAGAAAAAACAAUCACGCAUGCAUGCAUAUAUGUACAAGAACUAACGCCGGGGAGUCUUAACGCAGAUUUGAACUUUGAAUUGUUUCUCUAUCUGUCUUCUUUUCUUGAAGUUAGACGAACCUGGUCUAAAUUAAGCCAGGUAAAGUGAGAGAUUAACGUCCUUGAAGAAUUUAAGCAGUUGAAAGUUUCGAGAGGUGUCUUCAGUUUAUGCAGCCAGCAUCCUUUAAUUGUGCAUAUCAGGCAACAAAUUCAGACAAUCUCGAUUGGAAAAAAAGAAUAAAAACAAUGAGAUUUGUGGCAGUGGAUCUGUUAGGGAAGCGAGUGUAGCAAUUAGGUUUUGAAGCGUAAUGAUCAUUGUUUUUAAGAUAUUAAUAUUUUUUAUUAUAUUUGUUGUAGAGUUAAAAGUUAUACACAUCCAUGGUAUAGCACUAUAGCCAAGUCUUAAAACUAGUAAAGAAUAACUUCUAUAAAUUUUUUUUAAAGUUUUAUUUUGUUUUCGAUGAACAUAAACAAAAAUUUUGUAAAGAAAAAUAGGUUGAGAAGAAUAUUAUUUUUUAAUUGAUUUAUGUCAAUAUCAAACUGAUAUUUAUAUAAAAAAAAUACAUUUUCAAACUAAUGUUUUUGUAGAAAUUUAAAGGCACGCAUAGUGUCUAUAGAAUUUAAUUUAAAUGGCACACUUAGGCCAAUAUAUAUAUAUAUAUAUAGAAUUCAGGAUGCAAUUUUUUAAUUAAAUUAAAAAAAAAUAACUUGACAAUAGAUAUCAUGCAUGAUUAAUUAAUUAAUUUUAAAAAUAAAAAUUAUUGAUUUGGAAUUUCUUUCCUUCCUAGUAUAGGAUAGAAUUCUUAAUUUUAUUUAUGUAACAUUCAAACUAUUAUAACAGUGGAGUUAUGCUUGAGCCUACAGAAUGAAAUUAUGGAUCGGAUUUUUGAAUGAGCCUGGAAUUUGCUAAGAUCACAUGCAUGUUCAUAAUAGUUUGAAUAUUAGAUAAAUAAAAAGAAUUCUAAGCCACAGUUAUUACCAUGCCAAUUAAACUAGUAAUUAUGAUAGAGCUUUGCCUGUGUUGAAUUCAAAGCCAUUCAUUCCAUGUGCCAUUUAUUUAAUGUCAAGUGUUAAUAAAAAUAUAUUAUGAUUGUUGCUAAAAUCAAGACAUAUAUCUCAUAAUAUAUAUAACAAUGAAACUUAAUAUAAGAGUCGUUAUAAAGUAUAUAUAUUAAAACAUUUAUUUUAGUAAGUUUCUUAGACAAAUUUCAUUAAGAGUUAAUUUUAUUGCAGUGGGGUCUUGUGUUGACAGUUUCAAACAUGGCCAAAUUAAGUGUAUUUAAGAGAAUUGAAGGGCAGGUCUUUCUGUUUUUUCAAAAUAUUUUUUGAAUUAUUUUUCAUUUAUAUAUUAAAUUAAUAUUUUUUAAAGUAUUUUUUAUGACUUUGAUGUUUCAUUUAUGUUUCAAUAUUAAAAAUAAAAUAAAUUUUAAUUUUAAUUACAAAUAUAUUUUUAAUUACAAAUAUAUUUUUACAUAAUCACUCUAUAUCAUAUUAUAAAACAUACACAACUUGAAUGAUAGAGCAAUGACUAGACUUUUAUAUGGGUUAUGUUGAGACUAUUUGAUAUUGUGGUAGUAAUUUUUUUAAAAAAUAUUUUUUAUUAUAAAUAUAUUAAAAUAAUAUAUUUUUUAAAAUUUAUUUUUAACAUUAAUAUAUUUAAUCUAAAAAUAAUAUAAAAAUAUUUUUUAAAAAAUAUUUUUCAAUCACAAAAACAAAAAUGAAAUUGGUCAUGAAGCUUCAGAUUUUCAAUUGGAGUUCUCCUAUUCCUGGAUCUUGACAGACUUUAUCAACGUUAGUUCACGGGCUUUACUCCAUCAUCUUCAUUGUUGAUUUCGAAAGAUUCAUGUGCCUACAGGUGUGCGUCUUUGUUUUCUGGGUUAACAACAAAAGUGCCUCUUGAUAUAUAUAUAUAUAUAUAUAUAUCCUCGCUAACAAUGCUACCCUUUGCUAGAUUGUUUGGAUCAACUUUAACUUUAAUCUUCUUAUCUGAUAGUUUUGAUAUUGUUGCUUUUUCGUUCAUUUUCUCUUUUGAGAAUAGUUCCUAGAUUCGAUGGCAUGCACAAGAAAUUCUAGCAUGAGAUAAUUACGACAAAAUGAAAUCAGUAAAAAUAAUAACAAGCACGAAUAAGAGAUAUUUUAAAAAUAAUUAAGUAUUGUUCAUGAUUAUUUAUUUAUUUAUAUAUAUUAUUCUUGAUUUAUUUGAUUAUAUAUAUAUAUAUAUAUAAAAAUUUUUAUUUUAACUUGAAUUUUUUAUACUAUAAAAAUGCAUUGAAAAAUCCUGUAUUUAUAUAUUUUUUUAUAAAAAAUAAAAAUAUUUAACCCUUAAAUAAUUGUGAAUUGAAUCGUAUAACUAGCUAGAUAACUUAACCUUGUGUUUAUCUAUUUGACAUAUAAUUAUUUGAAAUACUUUUAAAUGUGAUAAUAUUGAGUAUAAAGCUAAAAUAUAUGAGGUUUAAAGAAAAAAAGAAAAAGAAAUGCGAUGUCAUAAAAAAAAUGUCAAGUGAUAUUCAUAACAAGCCAGACAUGAUUAUUUCUUACAUCUAAAAUGCAUUGCUAGCAAGAAUUCAGUAUUCUUUUUUUUCUCUAGACCAGAAGGCCAAGAUGUGACAUGUCGUCUACUACUACGAGAAAUAAACUUAGGAGUCAAGGUAAAAAAAAUUCUGGAAAGAAGGUUUUUUUAUUUAAAAAAGGGUUUGAAAUCAACUCCUUAACAACAAUAAGCCCAAAUAAAUGAUUCCACGAGAAUCAAACCAUUGCCCGGGUCGGAGGAUUGCAAGAUCAACAGAGGGUUAUGGGCCUGAGUAGUGUUUCCCAUGAGUUUUCUUCAGCAUUCAUAUUAUUCAAGUACAAAAUGAACUCGGGCUCCCAAUUAUUAACAUGGCAGGCAACAGGACACGAAUUUCCCAUGAGUUUAUUCGUAUCAAAACUGGGCCUACUGGGUUUUUCAAUUACCAUGAUUGGACUCGUAAGACAUAUAUAUAAACUCACAUGCUACUCAUGGACCUCUUUUAGACAGGCCCAAUAUUACAGGACUCCUAGAAGCUGAAGGCAAUGGACAUUUAAAGGAUUCCAAGAACAUUCCAAGUCCAUUGAAAUGAAGGUUUCCCUGUUUCAGUUAAAUCUUUUUUAAAGAAAUCAUGCCCCCAUCAAAACUUAAAUUAAUGGCUACCUGACGGUGGCGGACGGAUUCCGAUGAUCCAACUCCACGUCAACAAAUACAGUGUGAAUAUAACUGGCACUUGCAAUCUAAAUUUUGGCGUGAGUGCAUUGUUCAUCACACAUUAUUUCUCUCCUUCGCAAAAAGCCCAUCCAAAUGGAUUUGUAUUUUUACUCCGUCGUAGUUCGUGGAAGCUCACCAGCCUAGACGAACUAAAAGUUAGCACUCUGUUUUUUCAUCCUCGUCUGGUAGCCUUGUCUGUUUGGAGAUCAGGAAAGUUCCUUCAGCAAGAUAUCAAGGAAAGAUCCAAAAUCCUGACUAAACCACACAGCUAAAAACAUUAAUUAAUAAAGCCAGUCGCCAGAAAAAACUCAAAACCCAGAAAAAGUUUCUAGCAAAGCCCGCCCCACGACAAGAUACAAAUGUUUUGAGGAGCUGGCCGUCUAUAUAUAUAUAUAUAUAUAUAUAUUUUAGUAAGCUGUAGUCACUAGUAAGACACUGCCUCUCAUGAUUACUGUACCCGUGACUUUUCUUAUGGUCGCUUGCAACUGCAAGAGCAUCCCAAAUUAAACAAUUAAAGUCUUGAGUAGUUGGUCAACUAAACUUUUGUUUAAUUCACAGUCUGACAUUCAAGAAAGGUCUUAAAAGCCACAGGCCAUCUUCUUAGUUUAUACAUAAUUACUAUAAAAUUGCUUAACUCGGAGAUUAAAAUAUAUAAAACAUGUGUAGCGUAGUACUCGCCACUAUCUUCCACUGAUUUUCUUUCCUGCUACGUGUGUUACUUAGGCGUUAAUCUCAAUGUUAGCAAUACUGUCAAUAUUGCAGAGUCUGAUAACUAUGUGAAAACAAAGCUGUUCUUUCCCGCAAGAACAAUAGAACAUGCUAUAAACUAUAAAGUACGCAUGUUAGUCGACACUAUGAUUUUUGGCAUGGAGUUCAUAUUCCAGAGAAUGUGGGGAGUUGGGAAAGAACAAAUAAUUAAUGCACUCCUAUCCAUAUUUAUCAUUAUCUCAUGAGCUGCUUGCUUUAAUUUGCCUGAGCCUGUUAGGUCUGGGCUUUCAUACAAGGAUGGGGUCUCACGUGAAACGCCGAUCUUCAUCCUUGAGGGACCACAAGCACCCUCCCUCUUUAAGGACCCUCCCCCGUUGUUACCGCUACACACCCAACUCUGGGAAAGUGAACGGCUUCUGUUAGAUGAACUUAAGAUCAUAGACGCUCAGGUAGUUUACUGGCUUUUCAAUGCGCAGCUUAACUCAUCCACCAUGUUGAAGGGGCGUAAAUAGGAGUGGGUGAUCGAGAAACGAGGGUCUUAAAACUUUGAUGUGAAGGGCCAACGAACACUAUAACUAACGUCCUCUGUAGAUGUUUUCUUGCUCCCAGUGCACAAACCAUGGAGUGAUCAGGGUUCGUUCUUGGUUUGAUUUGAAAAUAAGAAGCAACAUAUAUAUAUAUAUGAUUGAAUUGACGUUAAUUUUUUUUUUUAAUGUCCGAAUCUAUAUUACACUAAAACUAUGAUUAGAGUUUAUGUUUUUUUUUUUUUUUUUCUUUCAAAGAAUAUAUGAUUCGAACCAAAUUCAUUUGGGACGAAGAAAAUAGUAAUGUUAAUAUAAUUACAAUGAAUUAUUAACCAUCCAUGCAUUUUAAAUUAUAAUAAAAAAGUUUUAAUAGUUUCUUAAGAGUUAUUUAGAAGUGGUAAUUAUUUUUUAAAAUAAUUUUAAAAAAUAUAUAUAUUAAAAGAUAUAUUUUUUAUUUUUUAAAAUAUUUUUGAAAUUGACAUAUUAAAAUACUUUAAAAUAAUAAUAAAUAUAUAUAUAUAUAUAUAUAUAUAUUUUUUUUUUAAAAAAAAAAAUACCAUUUGGCAGCCCUUAAUUGGAGAGGGUCCAUUGACUGUUAUCGGUAGAAAACUGGUUAAGGUCUAUCACUACUUCUGGUGGACCAGAAACCUACCUGAUAACCUACCUUUUGAAAUGUUUGCGCGCCAAUGGCUAAUAUCCCUAGCUGUCACAAUCGUCAGCCACAAUUAUCCUUUUAAUUUAACGGUGUUUAUUGACCAGUAAGGCUACACCUUACAAGCAUCUGGAUUGAUCUUCCUUAUCUAAAAAUAUAGUACUGUCUGUAAUUUAAUUUUCACACGAACGACCUGAUUAAAUUUUAAAUUUAUAUUUUAAAAUUUUAAAAAUAUUAAAAAUUAUAUAAUUAUUAAUUUUAGAAUUUAAAAUUAGUUAACAUAUACACAAACUAAUUCAGACAUUUACAUUAAUAAUAAUAAUAAUAAAAAAAAAACAGUAACACUAGUAGAUAUUUUGGAUUUGCAACAUUGAAGUAAAAAUCUAAUGGUCACGGGAAGGAUAUGCUCACCCAGUUGACAUUCAAUGCCACCCAUUUUUUCCCAGAUCAAUACGGCAUCGUGACACUUUCAUAUAAUACUUAGAACUACAUACAUUACCAGAUUAUGGCACAUUGCUGGUAGCACCAGCAUCAGGAGUAUCACGAGCAACAUGUUGACCCUGUAAAUGAUGAGCCAAUGUGGCUUUGGUUCUGUAAUAAAAAAAAAAUUAAAGUUGAAGUGAGCACAAAUUAAUCUAGAGACCUCCCAUUUGUAUGUAUUUUACUAUAAAUCAUUAUAAAUCCUAACCGGUAUUAAUUAGUAUUGUAAACACGUCAAUGUAGGAUUGCAUUCAUAAAUAUUUUUAUUUAAAUAUGAACAAAUUCUAAAAACUAACUUUUUUUUUAUUUGUGUCUCAAAUAAUUAAGAUGAUUUAAUUAAGAAAUUACGGGCUAAUUUAAUAUAAACUUUCAUUAAGAAAAACACAUGGAUAAAUUUUUGAGGGAAUUAGAAUUUCAGAGGGCGGUUGGUUUUUUUAAUGAAAAUCGGUGUAGAAUCAAAUGAAUGUACUUGAGAAAUCAAAGCACGAGAGGGUUACUAUAUCUACUACAAUUCAUGGCAAUAUAUAGUCUUGGUGCCCCACUAAUCAACCCUCCUCCUGAAUCUUUAAACAUUUUGUGCUCGAUCAAUCUCUUCAUCGUCACUAUUAACAUGGGGUUAUGAUGUUUGUACGAAAUGUUUACACGAAAUCAUUGACAAUAUCAUCUUGUCUUGUCAAAGAAACAUAUCAAUUUAAUAAUAAAUUAAACUAUUGUUUCGACUGAAAACAACCUCCACCCAGCUCAUCCUAGUCGCGAUCCUCUCUCCAGCUCAAGAGUUUUCCUUUUUCGCACACUAUAUACUACGCGAUAGAAGUAGUGGAAUCUAGGUUUUACAAAUCAUAUGUUAAUACUUACAAAGCUUGCAACUAAUAUAUAUAUAUAUAUAACUGCAACUGCAACCCGGAAUAUUUAAAAGUGUAAUAAUAAUUGUUUUUUUAAAUAUUUUUUAUUUAAAAAUAUAUUAAAAAAAUAAUAUUUUUCACAUUAAUGUAUUAAAAUAAAAAUUUAACAAUCAAUCCAACAAUAUUUUAUAUUAUUGAAAUAAUUAAAUUAUAAAAAACAGAAAAUAAAACUAUUUUAAACACAUCUCCGAAUAACAAUCUUCAAAAAAUGAGAAUUUCAAUUUCGAAUUAUAGAUUAAAAAACACAACAAUUAUUUGAUUUUAUUAUUUCGAUAAUUAAAAAAUAGCCAUGGAAACUCCAAUAUCAGUACCAUCACAGACAUAAAUGUCACGAUCUUUUGUUUCAAACAGCUGUCAUGAAUUUUUAUAAUUUAAUCUCUUUUGCGAUGAUCUUGGGAUAAAGGUUUUUAUGAUCUCAAUUAUUGACGAAUAUCCGACCAAUAAUGGCAUCGUAACGAGGUAAUAAAAAGCUGUAUCUGUAUUCUGUACAUAACUUGCCUGGUUUUAAAUUCAAAUAUCACAUUUUCUUUACGGUUUUUACGGUGACAUAAUUAUUCUCUGAAAAGUUUUUUUAAAAAAAGGACGAUCCAAAGUUAUAUUUGAUUAUAGAGUUUUGCACGUAACUAGAAAAUAGAAAUGGUCGAAGCAUGCAGUCAACUGUGUCGGAAUUAUGCAAGCAUGCACAUAAGAAAAACAUAAUUUAGACAGCUGUUCAUCAUGUAUUUACGAAGCUAGACAUUUGUUCAUAUACAUGUAUAAAUUAAUGCUCUCGAAAAAAUAAAUCACUCUUCGGAAAGGCAAAGGAUUCCUUAGAGCACUCGUCAAUUAAAUUCGGAGGUGUAGGUGUGUAUUGUUUUUAAAAACCGACAGAAACAUCAAGCCCUGAAUGGCAUGACAUUGUCCGAGAGACAGGCUUGCACCUCUUGGCAUUCCGGGGAGCUUCCGUUUGUUGGCAUUCCGGGGCUCUAUACAAGGAUACGAGGGGGUUACUAUCUAUAAUUUGAUGUCUGCCAUUUUUAUUUUAUUUUUUUGGCUUCGAAUAAUUAAAGUCCUGAUAUUGUAGAUUUCUGUACUUGACAAUUUCCUCACCUUCAUCAACACAGAAUUAUGUUUUUUAUUUGGAAUGUUUGCACGGGAUGAUUGGCAUCACUAAUUUAUACGGUAUCUUCAAUAUUUGUUUUUGUUUUAACUAAAACCAAUCUCCUACCACUCUCACCUGUCAAAUACGUUUGUUGUUAUUCGAGUAUGGAAGAAUUUGGCUUUUUUCUCUGCUAGAAUAUAUAUAUAUAUAUAUGUGUGUGCGUGUGUAUAUAUAUAUUAAAAAGUGACGAAUAAAGAUUUAUUAGUUAAUAUUUUUUUUUUUAUAUGUUUUUACUAAUAGAAAAUAUCUUAAGAAUAAAAUGAGUGUAACAAGCAUGCUAAAUUUAAAAUACUUGGAUUUAACACUUAACUAAGUUCAAUAUAAUAUGAGUUUGACAUAUUUGUCAUGCUCAAACACUUGGACUCUAUAAUCAAUCAAGUCCAAGUUAAUAUGAGCUUGAUAUACAUGUUAGUCUAGUUGAUCUUUCAUAUUAGAAUUUAGAGGUAAUGAUUCCUUUAUAUCUAUAGAUGUGAUGAAGAUCUCUUAAGGGAUUUAUCACAUUUAUCAUCUCAUUAAUGAUAUGAAAAGAUAUGUUUGUCUCUUAUUAAUGACAUGUAAGAGAUAUUUGUCUCUCAUUAAAGUCAUGAAUAAAGAAUUUUCUAAUUUUUCUUUUUCAUGAAAACAACAAGGCUUUGGGUGUUAUAAGAAUCACCCGAACCACGUAGAAAAAAUAUUCAUAAUCUUCAUCAUCUAUGAUAUACAUACCUGAGAUUAUAUUUUUCUAUAAUAUUAUUGUAUAUUUUCUCUCUAUAAAAAUACUUACCUGAGCACCUGAGAGUUCCAACACCUACUAAAUAUAAUUUUUUAUAGGUACUAGCUACAAGUCAUCUUGACUUAUCAAAUAUCAAGUACAAAUUAUCAAUUAUUUUGGCUAUAAACAUAAAUAAAAUUGCUAUGAUCAAUUAAUUAAUCUAUUAUUUAAUCCGGGAGCCUUGUUUCUAAAUUAGUUAGAUUUUUUUACCACCAUAAAAAAGAUAAGUUCAUACCAUUAACCUGUAUCAUUAAACAUAAACCAAAUAAAUUGGACAACCCAUUUUUUUUUUCAACAUCAUUUACUAUUGGGUUUUAAAAAAAAUCCAUGAAAUAAUUUAUGUGUUAAUUAUUAUUAAGUUUUAUUCAUGAAAGAUUUGAAAUUUACGUUUUUUUAUGUUGAAUUCAUGUAUUUAAGAAAAUAAACUUUAUUACAUGAUGAAUUAAAGGUUCGAGUUAUGAUUAUUUCCAAAUUCUUAUCUAAAAAAAUUAGACAAGGCAGAUACUCGCAAAUUCCAAAUCUAGGCCACAUAGUAUAUAUAUAUAUGCAACAUCACUUUAUGUUAUUUAAAUAAUCAAGUAAAAAAAUAACAUAAACGAGGCUGUUUUUAAACAGCAAUAUAAAAAAAAGCGAGAAUUCCAAGUUGAAAUGAAUAAAACCAACUAUAUAAAUGUCAAUCGUGCAAUUCGAUAAGGAUAAAGAUGCAAACACCGAUAUCAAUAUUACAAGCAACUUUCUUCUUUUUUCUUAAUUAUAAAAUAACUAUCAUGUAUUAAUUUAUCAUUUAUUCUUUUCUUGGAUGGUAUUGGAAAAAAUGUUUUUACCAUCUCAGUCACCGACGAAUCUGACUAGUAACGGCAUCAUAACGGGGCUAAUAAAAACCUUUAGCUGUACGUAUCUUACCAAUUAUAUAUAUAUAUAUAUAUAUAUAUAUAUAUAUAUAUAUAUAUAUGCAGAUUUCAUGUUUUUUUUUCGUUGUUGCUUAAAAAAUUGACCCAAUGUUGUUGUUAUUAUUAUUAUUAAUAAGAUUAUAUAUUUUAUCUACAUAUCAUUAUAAAAUAGAAAUGGCCUAAGACAAUUAUCCAUGGUCGCGGUUUGAUUUCUUAUCACAUGCAUCUGAUUUUACUGAUAUCAUUACAUUAGUAUGAGAUAAAAAUAUAAAAAAAUUAAUUUUUUUUUAAAUUUAAAUUUUUAAAAAUAUAAUUUAUCUUUUAAAAAUCAUCGAUUUGAGUUUUAUAAACGUCAUGAUUAUUAAAAAAUUAUAUAAUUAUUAAUUUUAAGAUUCAUGAAAUUAAUUGAUAAAUUGAGAAAUACUGAUGAAAUUAAUUCAAACACUUGUGUUAAUAAAAAAAAAAGAAAAGAAAAAAAGCCAAAUGUAAAUUAAAGAAUGCGUAAUCAAUUUCAUUAUACUUGAAAAAGAAUUACUCCGCAAAAACAGUAUUAGUCAAUAGCAGUAGACCCCAAGUAAAAACAACUUUAAUAAUUUUCAAUAGAAAAACGGAAAAAGAGAAAUCUCUUACAACAGUAAAGAGAGAGGAUACGUUACUUUUUUAAAAGUAAAAGGUAAAUCACUCCUCCGUCAGAUUCUAGAGGGAUUUAUUUAUUUAUUUAUUUAUUAAAAACAGAGACAGAGACAGUGACACACAGCCAAGUACCUGAAAUAGGAUAGGAAGACAGUUGUUGGCACUGUGGGGCUGGCUAUUAUCUAUGGUGGUGGGUUGUGAGAGUUGAGAGAGUGUGCUGGGUAGAGCCUAGAGGUGAGGUGAAGUGGGUCAAUAAAAAGUUAUCUCUACGAGAAAAAUCCACUCUCUCCCACUUUCCCGCUCCUUCUCUUGAAUCUUUUUCUUUCUUUAUCCCCUUCUUUCUAGACAAAAACAAGAGAAGAAAAGAAAACAAACGAAGUGAUGGAGAGCCAAUGGAGAGAACCGAAACCAAAACAAAACGGUAGUUGUUGCCUGUCGGUGUAAAUUCUUCUCUUCUCUUCUCUCCUUAGCUAUGCGGAGCAGCUUCUUCUCUGGCAAUGGAUACCCCAGAGAAGACCCAGAUCACCUCUCCUCUUUCUAAGUUCGAGGUAAUUCCUUGCCUCUCUUAUUCUGAUCUCUCUGACCCUUUUGCAUUCGUGAAUCGUGUUUUUGGUCGUUUUGAUUCAAUGCAUGUGCUUGGGUUUGGUGUCUUAGUUGGUUGACUUGCCUGUGUUUUAUCAGAAAAGACUCACCUGGGUUUUUCUGGGACCAGAGUCCUGUCUUGUUAGUUUUCUCUGUCUGGAUUUUGAGUUUCAUGUGGUUUACAUCUCUAAUUUAGGUUCAAUCUUUACAAUUUGGUUCUUCCUCGUGUUACCUUCAUGUCGCUUGAAAUGCUAUGAACUGCGAAGUAGCAUUUCAAUCUUGAGAUCUUAAUUUACUGUCAUUUUCGUAAAAGAAAUAAAAAAUUUCUCCUGAUUUAUUGGGAUCUAUUUGGUGUUUAUAACGACUUUUGAAAAAUUCUCUCAUUUUAUUUUUUAUUUUUAUGGUCAGUCUAAGAAGGAUACUGUAUUUUUUUUUUUAUCUAUCAGUAAUAGUAACCCUUCUGUCUGAACGAAUUUACUUAUUUGAUUCUAGAUCAGUAAUUUGGGAUCUUGUAUUCGUUCCAUCUGGUUGCUUCUUUGUUCAAUGAUUGACAUGUAUUUUUGCUUCUGGGUGCAGGAUUCACCUGUUUUUAGCUAUAUCAAUAGCCUUUCUCCUAUCAAGCCAGUGAAGUCCAUAAACAUCGCCCAUACAUUCCACUCGCUUAGUUUUGCAUCCCUUCCGUCCGUCUUUACUUCGCCCCAUGUGAACUCUCACAAGGAAACUAGGUUCCUUAAGAGGUAAAUGACUUGCUUUCUUGACCAUCCUCCGGUCUGGACUACAAUAAAAGCAUAUAUACUUUUGUUCAACUUCACUCUUCUGUUUUCAGGCAUAACUACGCUGAUCUCUCAAAACCAGAGUUUUCUUCUGAAAAUGGGAAUGAGGCUUGUAAUGAUGAAAGGGUAGCUGUGGAUGCGGCUCAGCUUUAUGAUAAUUCGUCUGAGCUACAGGAGAGUUUUGAUCCUGGGGUGUCCAUUAGAGAGGCCUCAGUUGAACCUCCUAGUGAACAUUUGAAGCUCGCAAUUGAACUGCCACGGACGUUAAACUAUGAUUGUGGUACCCCUGAUAGUGACCAAACACCUCGUUGUGGUACUCAGACAGGUACUGUGUCCAAAUCUGAUGGCACAAUAGCGUCACUUGUUCCAUUUACUGAUGUGGCUUCUCAUAAAGAUUCCUCUGAAGGUCAAGUGCAUUUAGCAGGGUUAUACAAGAUUGAGAGUAAAAAAGAGGCUACAGAAUGUGACUGGGAGAAUUUUAUAUCAGAUUCUGCUGAUCUGUUAAUUUUCAAUUCUCCCAUUGAUGCAGAGGGUUUUAAGGAGCUUUUUCAGAAGUCACCGAACCCUGUUGUUGGAUUUUGCACCUCUUUUAGUGAGGUGCAAAAAAUGCAAACAGUCAAUCCUAUUGGUCCUGGUGAACAAAAUGAGAAGGAAGACCCCUUCACUCAACCUGGGGAAACCAUUGAGCUGACGCAAAUGGACCCAACACAGGACAAUCUUGCUGCUAAUAAGGAUCCAAAUAAAUACAUAAUCAGCAAUCCUUCUAAGGUAAAAAGAUGCAGCUCAUAUCUGUUGCCGAUAUCUGCUGCAUAAUUUGCAUCUUUCUAGUUGAUGAAAUAGUUUUGAUUUAUUUGUUUUACACUUAAUUGUUAGUUGUGUCAUGCGAGCAUGAACUCCCUUCUACUUACUAGUAAUUGUUCGUGUUGAUAUACCCAGCAGGAAAAGAAUCAAACUCUUAUAAACAUCUUGAAAGUGAGCACAGCAACCUUUUGUGCUUGCAACUCCCAGGGAAGCUAGGCAGGUGUAAAACAAAUGGGUCAUGCUGCACCAAGCACGGGCAGCCUGUCAGCUACUAUUCCAACCACAACACUACUGUGGAACCUAAAAAGCAUCUCCUGUUUUCUACCUUUAAACUUGUACUUAAAAACGCCUUCCCAACCCACAUUCAAUUUUAUGUUUACAUGUUCCACUAAUCAAAAUUUUGUGGAACAUAAAAUAUAACCAUGCAGAUAUAGAAUUGGCAAACCAAAAUUUUGUGCCAUUAAUCAAUCUGCAAUGGAUAAACUUGUACCAAGAUUUGAUUUGUAUUUCUUAUGGUGGCAUGAUUUCCUUAAUAUGCAGCAUCAAUUCCGUUGCAUUUCAAUUCCUAUUAAGAUUGACCCCCUUGUAAUUUUGAAGAUUUGUAUUUUACUUGACCAAAAUUGUUUUCUUCUUGUUCUCCAAUUCAUAACUUUUGAGGAACUCAAUGACUUUUCUGACAACAGUCCAAUUAUUUUAUGAUCCUGUAGGCUGUUUCUAAUUUGCAUCGUGGCAUGCGAAGGCGCUGUCUUGACUUUGAAAUGGUAGGAGCCCGUAGGAAGAACAUAGAAGAUGGUUCAAGCUCUAGUUCAGUGGGGGUGCAGUCAGAUGAGAAAAUUACUUACAAAAAUACACAAUUGGUGCCUUUUAAGCCCAGCAGUGAUUCUUCAAGAUGCAUUUUACCUGGAAUUGGUCUGCACCUAAAUGCUUUGGCAAUAAAUUCCAGGGAUAGUAAAAAAAUCAAGCAUGAAACUUUCUCUUCCUCCAUUACUUUGCCUGGUUCUGCUGCCUCCUUUCACUCCCCAACAAGUGGUCAAGAGCUUGAUGAAUCAUUGGCCUUAGCGUCUAUGGAAAGAGACAUGGAUCCCAGUGACAAUGUUGUUCCAUUUGUGGAAGAUUUCAGCCAGACUAGCCCAAAAAAGAAGAGGCAUGUUAUUUGACAAUGUGUUUCCUGUACAGUUAUUACCUAAUAACUCUUACACUUAUUAGCAUGUUUAUGCAUCUCUCACGUUUGAAUGUCAUGGAUAUUAAAUUUUAUUUCCAGGCGUAGGUUGGAAGGAGAAGCCGAGGCCUGCAAGCGUUGCAACUGUAAGAAAUCAAAGUGUUUGAAACUGUAAGUAGUUAUCUUCUGAAAUUUAAUUCAAUCAGGGAUGUUGUUUCCAGCUAGUGACCCAAAUAAAUAUAAUCGGAUGUGCUAUUCAAAAAUAGAUCUCUGUGCUUUGGUGUCAUCACAAGCUAUUUUUUAUCCCGUGUUGGGCAAGAUUUAACAGUUAGACUGCUGUUAUAUCUCAUAUGACUUCUCUAAUCUAUGGAAGUAUAUGCAGAAUUAUUUAGGGAAAACGAUCUUUAUCAAUGAAGAUCCCUGUCCUCAAGGGCCCUUACCAUGAACAGGGUCCUUACAUGAACCAGGCUUCAAACUUGGAUCUAAUAGAUCAUCUUAGUUUUCAAUUUGAUUAUAUUCUCCUCUUGUUUAGUAUGCUGGAGGUGAAUGCUUAAGUUUUUUCUUCCCUUCCCUUUCCUCCCUCAUUUAUUUGACUCUUGGCAUGUCUAUACACAUCCUUUAUCUGGUAUCAUAAUGAUCAUAUAUCAAUAUGCACACCAUGCAGGUACUGUGAAUGUUUUGCUGCUGGUGUCUACUGCAUAGAGCCAUGUGCAUGUCAAGAUUGCUUCAACAAGCCUAUUCAUGAAGAUACUGUUCUUGCAACUCGCAAACAGAUAGAGUCUCGCAACCCACUUGCAUUCGCUCCCAAAGUGAUUAGGACAUCUGAACCUGCACCUGAAAUUGGGGUUAGCUCAAAUCUGAUCUUACCUUUUGCUUAGGCAAAAUAGUCAAACUUUUAUUUUAACUUGAAUGCUUCUUCGAUCUAGGAUGAGUCCAGCAAAACACCUGCUUCAGCUCGGCAUAAAAGGGGAUGCAACUGCAAGAAAUCAAGUUGCCUAAAGAAAUACUGUGAAUGCUAUCAGGUAGUUUCCUUGGCAUAUUCUGUGUGCUUUUAAUGUUUAAUAUAAACUGAUUCAUCAAAUCAUGGUUCUUUUGUGAAGGGUGGUGUUGGAUGCUCCCUUAACUGCAGAUGUGAAGGAUGCAAGAAUGCAUUUGGAAGAAAGGAUGGUAAGUUUUACCCAAAAGUUUGCUUUCAUACAGUUUAGCUACUUAGUACACAGGCAACCUUCCUCUAAUCAUGUAGUGGCUUUAAAUGAUCCAAGAAAUAAAUAAACUAACUUCUUAUUUUGGUCUUAUUAAUUCUAAAUAGUUUUGUGCCUUCAAUGACUUUCCAAAUCUAGGAUCUGCUUCAAUGGAAAUGGAAGACGAACAAGAAGAUGAAACAGAGGCAAGUGAAAGAAUGGGGUUGAUAAAACAUUGCAGAAAGCUGAAAUCCAGAAUAAUGAUGAGCAGCAUCCAAAUUCUGCUCUUCCCACAACACCAUUACGGUUUUCCAGGUUUACUUUCUGAACUAUUUACUGCCUUAAAGGUUGAGUGUUUUUAUUAGAUCUUUAGUGAUGUUUUUGAAAUUUGAUGCCAGACCACUGGUUCAGCUGCCAUAUUCAUCGAAGGGCAAACCGCCAAGAUGUUUUCUUGGCGUUGGAUCAUCUUCUGGAUUGUAUACUGGCCAAAGAUAUGGAAAACCAAAUAUUCUUCGACCUCAAUGGAAGUUUGAGAAGCAAUUCCAAAAUGUUCCAGAAGAUGAAAUUCCUGAGAUCCUUCGAGAAAACCACUCUCCAAGCUCUGGCAUCAAGACUUCUCCCAACAGCAAGAGGGUCUCUCCUCCACAAAGUAACUUAGGAUCAUCCCCUGGUCGGAGGAGUGGUCGGAAGUUGAUACUACAAUCCAUACCCUCAUUCCCUUCUCUCACUCCCCAGCAUUGAAAGGAAAUGUUUCCCAUAAAAGCUCGGAUGAAAUUCUUUUAAACCUUUGUAGCGUUGAGAGGCAUGUUAGUUUAGUUGUAUGUAAUUCGAGUUUUUUCCGCUCUGCUUGUAUAAUAAGAUGCAAUCUAGUAGUCAUAAAAUCCAACUACUCUUGUAUAAUAUUGUACUUCUACCUUUUCUUUUGUUCAUCUUCCUCCAACAAGGUUGAUUUUUAACACUUCAUUAAGCUAUCAAACACCACGAGUAAUAUAGAUGCCAUGCCAGUUAGAUGUUGUUGGCUUGUGACAUGCUUAUAGUGUUAUGAGUUUAUGAAAAAAAAAAAAAAUUAUAUGAAAGAAAAACUAUUAUAAUCCAAGAAAUGUUUUUUAAAAAUUAUAACAAAAAAAUAAAAAGAAAAAAAACUAUAUAGAAAAAUACUGUACCAAUUUAUAGUUUCAUGAAAAAAAUAUAGUUGUAAUUUUCAAUCAGUUCAAUAUUUAAAAUAAUAAAAUCAAUAAAGAUAAUUUUAAAAAAAAUCAUAACAAAACAAAAUCAUGUGGGGAACACUGUAGCAAUUCAUGAUGUUUUUUUUAAAAAAAACUACGAAGUUAAAUUCUCAACCAGCUCAAUAUGAAAAAAAUAAAAUCGACAAAGAUAAUUUUGGAAAAAAAUCAUAAAAAAAAAGGGAAAAAACCAUGUGGGAAAAACACUAUAGUAAUCUAAAGUAUUUUAAAGAAAAAAAACUACAAAGCUAAAUUCUCAACCAGUUCUAUAUUAAAAAAAUAAAAUUAACAAAAACAAUUCUAAAAUAAAAAAAAUGAAAAAAAAAGAGAAUUUAAAAAAAAAAGAAGUGAAAAAAAAAAUGGAAAAAGAAAUAUGCAGGAAAAGUUAAAGCUAAAUUCUCAACCAACUUUAUAUAAAAAAAAAAUUCAACAAAGAUAAUUUUGAAAAAAAAACAUGUGGAGAAAUACUAGUAAAACAAAAAUCAUGUAGAGAAAUAUUGUAACAAUUCAUAGUGUUUAAAAAAAAAAUUACAAAGUAAAAUUCUCAACUAGCUCAACAUGAAAAAAAUAAAACCGACAAAGAUCAUUUUGAAAAAAAAAAUUCAUAAAAAAAAAACCAUAUAGGAAAAUAUUAUAGUAAUUCAUAAUAUUUUAAAGAAAAAAACUACAGAACUAAAUUUUCAACCAAUUUAAUAUUAAAAAAAAUCAAAAAGAUAAUUUAAAAAAUAUAUAUAAAAACAAAAAAAAAGGACAAUCUUGAAAAAAAACAUGUAAAACGUCAAAAAAAAAAUUGUGGGAAAAAAUAUAUAUAUAGAAAAAGCUACAAUACUUAGCCUCACGUUUUAGGAUAUUACAGGAUAUUAGUUAAUAAAGACUGCAAUCUUCCAAGGAGAUUAUUCCCAAGCCUUGACGCGUCAGGGAAUCAAAAUUCAUAACUUCUGCAGCAUUAGCCAUUUAAGCCUGGUGGUUCUGCUCCUCAAAUUUCUUUUGGGCUGGAAUCACCUAGUCUUGCUGGUUGAUCCAGUCAGGUCAGGUUGACGGGUUUCAAAGGACCAUUCCAUGUGUAUAGACAGGAGAGAUGAACAUAUGCACACGGAGUUGGUCAUUUUCAUUUUCGAAUAAGACCAUUUCUAGUGUUUUACCAAGGCUAGAAGUUGAGCAUUUCUUCUAUCCUUUAAUGAAUCAAAUAUUGCACCCCCUGUUUUAUCUUCGAGGGUUUUUUUUUUUUUUUUUUUUUUGGGAGGUGGGGGGAGGCUCCAAGACCUGGAAAGCUCAGCGAAGAAAACAGGAAGCAAGUAAACGAGGGCACGAAGCACAGUUACAAAAUGUAAAAAAGAGGUCCAAUACAGGAAGCACAUGACAAACCGGUCAGUGCAUAGGAGGUUUUGAAGCCUUUGAUAAUUUUUCUCACCUUAUAGUUGGGUUACACAACGGAAGUCGUAAUGCUCUCCUUUGUUUAUCUUUGCGUGGGCAGCAUUGAGUCAAGGCCAAAUGACUCGUCAACUAACCUAGCUGGUAAGUUGAAGAUAGCAAGGAUACCAUUAAACAAAGACCGUGCAGAUGAAAUGAAGACUCGGAACAUGUUGGUGCAGUAUUAAAUUCAGUACUGAAUUUGUAAGCAAUGUGGCGAUGCCUAUCUUGUAAACAAGGCAAGACCACGGUUAGACAUUAACAUCAUGCUCUUGUCAAGUUUGAACUCUUUUACGAUCAAAAAGCAGAGUAAUUCAUCAAGCUAUGGAAGAAUUAGUACAUCCUUCCUAUAGUUAGAGUUCUUGCGAUCUCCUUUAUUGAAAAUUAAGUUGCAGGAAAAAAAAUCUGCUACCUUAACCGCUAACCCGCUUGGGAUGGCUAAGGGGUACAAGGGUUGGAUAAGAAUCUACCAACUUCUACACCUAAUAAACAAUUCCCUUCUCCCCUGUUUAUGGGUCACCAUCGGAGCUCUCGAGUUCACAACUGCACCAAGCUGGUUAUACUCCCAAUUGGGGUAUAUCUGAUUUUCA